UGGAGUUCCCCGGAGCCCCGCCAUCUGGUGCACCCAUACCCAGCCGGACCGCCCGCCGGAAUACCGCCGGCGGCCAACCCUAGCUCCCCCUUCACUGUGAGUGUCCAUUUUUGCAGCCAGCACUGUUUUCCCACUUUCCGGUAGCUAUUCCGGCAAUCCGAAUGGUCUUUUUGACCUCGGGAAGUGAGCACGAUGAUCCUUAGGUCGUGCUGAACAUCGUGCUCACUUCCGUCGAGCCCUGAGAUGCCUUGGUUGCUCGGGCAACCGCGAUCUUCCUGCGGUGCGCGCUGCUUCGCUGACCUUCGCGUCGCUUAUGCGCGCACCGCAGUCGCCGAAUGUGCUCCGAAUGGUGAGCACGGUCUCCGGCACGCUGAAACCUAUCAGCGGGUACGACGGUUGACCCAGCGAACCUCGUAUCGCAGGAUCGGGCCUUAGAAACUGUCGAAAAUCGCAUAAAAUGAUAGAUUUUAGGGUUCAUGAUGUGCUUUCUUGCUUAUAACUUCGACUCGGUCGCUGUGGACAGCGUGUAAACGCUGAGGGUAACCUCUGGACUGAUCGUCCAAGGCCCCAAGCCACUGCGGAGAUCGAAAAGCCUCUUUCGGGGCGUUUCGUGGCGAAAUUCGUCGACGGAAUGCGAUCUUAGUUCGGUUUUUAUCCGACGAUGCCUCGGGAUCAGUUGUGAUGUCGCUAAGCCUUCUUGGCAGGUCACCCGUGUCGUUUCGGGGGUUCGGAAACGACGGGUGAGCGACUGGUGGGUCCCGGUGUCAAAAACGACACUUUCGGGAACCCGGUUCGAGACGUUUAGUCAACGAUGUCGGUUCCGAGGCGAAGUGUGGUGUCUGCUGCCAAUGUGGGUUAUUAUAGAGUAUUAGUGGCAGCGGUCGACUCCCAGUUGGAGUUGGGGAGUUCCGGGACAAUUAGUGGACCCCGGCGAAGCCCCGGUGUGAUAUUCGGGACACCCGAUGUGAUUCGGCAAUCGGUCUUGGGAAACCGAUUCCCGUGGUUCCUUGUUUUGGGGAUUUUAUAUUAGUUGCUGACAUUAGGGUUUCCUUCUGACCUAGUGGACCCUUCACUGUCCGGUUGCUCUGUUCCCCGCCAUCGUGAGAUCUGAUCCAGACUUGUACAAGUGGGUACUUCGAUCCGACGUUGGUACAGUGGUUCACGCUCGGUGAUGGUUUCUUACCCUUGCUCUUGUGUUAUUCUCCAUGCUUAUGUUAUAUGUUGAGCCUUGCACCUCUAUUGUUUGCAUUACACCCACGUUGUUUGAUUAUAUUCUACUCAGAUGUUUCCAUGCUUAGUAUCAUGUGUAGGAGUAUAGUCUAUCUGUAUGUGAUACCAUGUUUCCUUGUUGCUCUACUUAGCUAUUCUGCAUACCCUGUUUCAUAUUUAUAGUAGAGUGAUUCUGUGAUUAUCUGUGAGAUUAGCGAUCUAGUCGGUCGAUUCUAAUAUUCAGUAUUUGUGAAAUGAUUGGUCGAGUUUCAUAUCCCGUACUUGUGACAUGAUUGGUCGAGUUUCAUACCCUAUACUUGUGACCUGGUUGGUCGAUUUGGUUACUUGAUGACCCAUGCGGUCGAUGGGCCCUGGGGGGGGCAGGAUUGUCGGCUGGUUGCCGACGGUUGAUCAUUGAGCAUAUUGCAUUGAUUGCCCGAUACUCGUCGCAUUUCACGAACACUGGCGGUCUGAUCCACCGCAAGGAGUGUUCUUUUCCGGAAAAGUGGUUGAAUGGUGACAACCCGUGAGCCCUAUAGGGGUUAUAUGCACAUUAGAGCGGCAGUGGUACUGUCGGGAGGUGUUGCGGUGCGGACCUCCAGGGCAUUGGCUUGAGGUCUGCGGUGCUGACCAAGAGAGCAUUGGUUUCAGAUUGGGUACUUUUGGACUGACUGUCCCAUUGACGCAUAUGUCUAUAGUAGCAGUCGUUGCAUGCAUACUUACAGUUCUUUCUAUAUACUUGUUUUGCUACUAUAGAUUGAUACCCAGGUAUGUUUUAUAUUCAUGUAUACUUUCUGUUCCAGUUACAGUAGCGGUAGCCAUUAUUCAAUCUAGUUUCUACUCUCUUUCAGUUUAUUGCUACCGUAUUCAGUAUAUCUACUCAUUACCUUAUUAUUGUUGCUACUAUGUUUCCACUGACCCGUGUUGUUGUAUAGCUCUUCCUGAUCCGGUGAGUACUCCUCGCCUUCUUCGGCUUGCGGUACCCACUGGGAGGGGAGACAUGUUUACAUGUUCUCACCUCCCCCACCAUUUUUCAGGUAUCGCGGGCGAUGAAUAGUGGGACGAGAUGUGAGGUACGUGUGUAGCGGUCGAUAGAGCCUCCGACCCAGGUUAUUUCGGUAUAGUUAUUACCCUUAUUAUUUCAGUUGUGAUAGCUUAGAUAGUUAUGGUUCAGUAUUUUUAUUACAUUUGAAAAUAUGGGUUUUCGUGAAUGUAAUAAAUGGAUUUCUGGAUUUUGUGAAAUAAAAGAUUUUCUACCCCUCGUGGUAGCGUUUUUAAAGAAUAAAGAUUUCCGUAUAGAAAACAGUUUUCAAAAGGUUUUCUGUGGAUUUUGCAUCUUAGUAUUUCAAAACCUGUUUCUGUGGUUGGAAACUUUUUAACUGAUAGAUGUGGAUUUAUGUUUAAAUAUCGAAUAUAUAAAUGUGAACCUGUGAUGUGAAUGGUGUAUGAAUAUAUAAUUGUUGGUUAUUUGUAUGUUCAUUUGAUUGUGGUUGUACCUGGGUUACUUCUUGUACUUGUGUGACGCCGUGCAAAUACAGGGGAGACUCUGUCCGUGUGAACAGUGGAUUCUCUGUGUUUGUGGCGGAUCUGGCAUACUCUGGGGUCAGGCUUUUCAAAAAAAAAAAAAAUUUUUUACGCUUUUCCGCUAUGUUUUAAACUAAAAGGGACCCCGGGGCGUGACAGUGUGAAACCACAUGAGGGCAUUUGAAAUUUACCGAUAAAUAAAAAUAGGAAAUAAUAUUUUGAGUGUUCACGUCUUUUACACCAACCGUAGUGUGAAACAACCGUUGUUAGAUAACGGUGUUUAAACAUUUUAUAUUUAACACUUCCCAUCACAUCUGGGCUCGAGACUUUUUAAUCGGCCCAUGACGUGGGCUUGAAUUAAAUAUAAGGAAAUUAAUAUGUUAGGAGCCUAGCGUGAUUCGAACUCAAGAGCUCCUGCUCAGAUACCAUGUGAAACAACCAUUGUACUGUAAAAGGUUAAGCUGUUAGAUAACGAUGUUUAAACAUUUUUAUAUUUAACAUGUAGGGUGUAUUUAGUUUGCUAUUUUUUGACUCUAAAAUUAGAAUCAGAAUAAAUUUAAUAUCAUUUAUUGGUAUUUGAUAUCAAUCUCGUUCAGAAUUCGAUUUUCAACUCGAAUGAAAAUGCCCUCAUUCUCUGUUUUCUGAUCAAACUCAAAACACUGGAUUCAAAUUUCAAAGGGAAAACUUCAAAAACCCCCCUGUGGUUUCAUGCAUUCUCACUUUCAUACCCUGUGGUUUAAAACGUAUCAAUUUGCCCCCCUGUGGUUUCAUUUUUCUCUUUUUGUUAUCAAUUUUAUUAUUUUUUUUUUCUUAAAUCAGUGACAAAAUUAAAAUUAAAGGAUACUAAAGUGAAUAUUCGAUAAACAUAGAUGGUUAUCUGAAGUUUUUUGUAUAUAAUUUAACGAAAUAUUAACGAAAAAGCUUCUGAAAAGAUAAAAACGAAACCACAGGGGGGCAAAUUGAUACGUUUUAAACCACAGGGUACUAAAGUGAGAAUGCAUGAAACCACAGGGGGGGUUUUUGAAGUUUUCCCAAUUUCAAAUGAACUUUUAACUUUUAAACAAAAGAAAAUGGUUUUUAAAUUUCAUUUUAGUUAAAUUUUGAUUCGAACAUGAAUUUGAGUUCGAUUAUACAUUUUGAAUUUGCAUAGGAAAUAAAGUUUUGAAGUUAGAUCAAAUUAAUAUACUAAGAUCUAAUUAUAAACUCAAAUUUAUAUGCAAAUUAUAAACACAGACUGUGGAUUUAAUUAAAUUUAAAAUUUUAAUUUUUAAUUAAAUGAUAAUGCAAAACUAAAUUUGUUUAGUACAUUUAUUUUUAAUUUUGAACUUAAUUUCACUGCAAUUUGUAAUAGAUUUUUUUUUAUUUUAUUUUUUUCAAAUUUGACUUUUCAGCUUCAAUUUAGGAUUGAAUUUUAAAUUAAAUUUAAACUAUUAAAUUUGAAUUAAAAUUGCCAACUCAAUUUUACAUUUUAAAUACUGAAUCGAAUGUAAUGCACUGAGUUUUCACAAAGAGCAAUGUUUUACUGAGAAAUAGUAAUGAAAACUUUAGGCAACUUGAAUAGUGCUUGGGAAACAUUAAAGUCUAUUUAGCACGAAAACGGCACGAAAACGAAUUUUGAAAAGCUAAAUCUGUAAAAUUGCAUAUUUUCAUUUAGUACCGAUACUGGCGUAGAGUACUGGUACUCAGCUAUAAGGAAGCUUGUUGAGCUCUCGGAUUUUGUGGAACUUUUUCGAGUGUCAGUAUUGAUUCGCGAAGUAUCGGUACAGAACCAACGCAUAUCUGCACACAAUAGAGUACACAGAAAUCCAAUAUUUAGAUUUUGCGGAACUGGCCUAGAGUACUGAAACACAUAAAUAGCGUAUUGAUACUAAAGCCCGCAUACCAGUACACAACUAUACGGACAGUAGGUUUUGACUAGUUGCAAAUAUAAAUGAUUAGAUGGUUUAGUUGCAAUUAUGCCAUUUCUAUAUACAAUCUUAUCUGGGACAUGUUUGGUUGGCGAAAAGUGAAGCAUCAAAAAUAGCAAUUUUGAAAAGUAACAUUUUAUCGGUUGUUUUAUUUGCGAAACUGAAUAUGAAAGUUACUUUAUAAAAGCGGACUGGUAAAAUGAGUUAUAACUAAAUUCACCUUUUUUUUAUUUCGGCUCGAAAAAUUGGAAAGUCACCGAAAGAAGAGAACAUAACUAAGGGUUUAUUUUUGAUCAUAAUUUUAAUCUUUGAAUUUGUUUUUAAAAAUGAAUUUUACUUUUAAUUUGAAUUAAAAUCACGAAUUUAAUUAAUUCCACAUCUCAAUUUUAUUUGUAAAUUCAAAUUCAACAUUAUAUAUAAAUUUAAAUUUUCAAAAUUUUAUUUUUAUUUAAGUCUGAAUUCCAGAAUUCAAAUUUAAAUUUUUAAAAUUUGAAUUUGAAUCAAAUUAUUUUUAGCUAAAAACCUCAGUCUGAACUUUUGAAUUCAAAUUUUUUCAACUAUAAUUCAAUUAUUGACUGAUAUUUGACUUUAAAAUUUAAAUUGUUAAGCUGAAAUUUAAAUUGAAAUUUAAGUUUUCUAUUUAUAUUUAAUUUCAAUGAUGCGUUUUAGUUUGAACUUUGAAUUCAAAUAUUUAGUUUGAAUUAUGAUUUAAACUUGAAUUUAAAUUUAAAUUUAAAUAUUAAUUCAAAUUGUGAAUUCAUUUUUCAGAAUUUAAGAUCAAAGAGUAAAUUAAAAUAUGAUUCAAAUUAUAAAUUUAAAUUUAGGUAAUUUUUUAAUUUUUAUGUUGAACUUUUAUUUUAGAAUUUAAUUUUAGUUGUAAGUUAUAACUUAAACUUUAAAUUCAAAUUGUAAAUCCAAUUUAUUUGUUGAAUUUUUAUUAUUAAUUCAAUUUAGAUUUACGUUUAAAUUUAAAUUUUAAAAAUAUAAUUUUGAAUUCCAAAUAUAAAUUUAAAUUUAAAAAUUUUAAUUUUAAUUGUAAAUAUAAGUCGUUUGUUUAUAUUUUCAUUUCUCUAUAUAUAAUUAAAGAAUCCAAAUUAUAAAAAUAUAUUUUUUUAUAUUUCACUUUGUAACCAACCAAAUAAUCGAAUUGACAGUUACUUUUGCAAAAAUGACUUUUCUCACUCCAGUCACUUUCAUACAACCAAAGAUGCCCUCAACCAAAUACUCUCUUCUCUCACUUCUUUUCUUUACCGUCUCUGUUCUUUCUCUCUCUAAAAGGAAAGAAACCUAGCUCAGCCACGUUGUUGGAUCGCUUAGAUCCAUCUUAUUGGAGGCUUAUAGGAGAUCAAGAGCAUCACGAAAAACUCUAAGAGGAAGAAGAUGACCAUUUCAACCCACGUUUCUCUUGUUUGAAGGAGAAGUGAUGAGUUAAAAUUUUCAGUAUUUGUUUUUAGAAAUUUUUCCGAAUAGAAAAUUUAGAAGUUCUAACUUAAUUAAGACUUCUUUAUUAGGAUUUCUUGAGAUUCUAGAGAGACCAAAAAGUAUCUCCUAGGAGUAUCCAAGAGAAGGUGGAGAAUAUUAUCGAAAUGAGUUUGAUCUCCCAUUUGUCUAAAGUAUUCUAUAUAUCCAUAUACAAAGUAAAGAAUAGAGCAAAUAUGUUUAAUUUGUAUGCUAUGAAAUUUAGAAGCACAAGAGAGCUUAAUUGCAUUUGAACUUGAAAAAUAAGGUAUUUAAUCCCUUCGUUAUGUUAAAAGAAAAGUAUAUGUUAUAUGUAUAUAAAAUAUCAUAUGAACUUGGAACUUAGAUGACAUAGUAGUGACAUGAAACAAGAAAGGAACCUAGAAAAUAAUCAAAUACAGACAACUAUGUGAACGUGAACUAGAAAAUAAGAAAAUUUGUAAAUGAGCUUAGUGGAUAACCCCAUAAGUCAUGAAAACGUAGGGUGUGAACUAAGAUACAAGUCGCAACCUUCUGGAAGUAUUAUAUUAGGAGAUGUCGAUUUUUCUUGACUCUCUACUCUGUAUUGGGAGACCGAUUACCGUCGACUCCCUAUGUUGUAUUUGGAGAUACCGAUUUUCUUUGACUCGAAGUGCCUACUAAUUAUAGAAAUGUCAAUUGUUUUUUACUCUCUACGAAGUGUUUAGCAAGAAGUGGAACAAAACCAAAGAGAUGGUUGGAGACAAGAAAUGAUUUGGGACAAUUUGUUAGCGUAAAGGGGUCAGCAUACUGCCAUGUGGCGGGAGGCUAAGUUGGGCCUAGUCAUGUUCAAAAUGGCGGAAAGUUGGGUUGGGUCGAAUCAUGUACGAAGUGGUAGGAGGCUGGUUGAACCGAGUCACAAUUGAAACCUGUAGGUACUAUGUGUACGCUUUAAGUGAAUCGGCUACACCUUUCCAAUAGCUUGAGCUUUUGGAAUUAAUACUUAAUGUGUGACGCUCCGCUUUCUAGGGGGUCAUCCAUUCUAGAACUAUUUUAACCCUAACACGCUUAACCUUCCUAACUUUUUAGGUCUAACCAUUGCCAAAAAUACUAUAACUUCAUUAAGAAGUUUAGUUCUGUUAUAUCGUAUAUAAAUAUAUAUAGAGUGAGUCUACUAUGCUAUCGGAAGCACGGAGCCUUCUGUGCUUCCAGCUCGUUUUCGAUGUUGCGACUUUCGAAUCGUCGAUCAGCUCCGUUAAACUUGAUCUAGAGUAUUUGAAGUACCUAGAAAAUAAAUUUUAUAAUUUUACGAUAUCAUUUGCCUAGUGAACGAAGGGGCUCAAACAUUAACGGCUGAAAAUAAAAAUCUUACAAAAUGUAAUAAUAUGACAUUAAAUUUUAAAUCAAAGAUAUUGAUCUUGUUUUAUAUGUAUAAAGAAUUUUCUAUCAAAAUUUCACGUGAUUCGGAUAUUUCUACACCGUUAAACUUGCAAACGGCUCACUACGACCAUUGAAAUUUGUUUGAUUUUGAGCCCAUUCGAUCAUAGGCAAAUGAUAUCGAAAAAUAAUAAAAUUUAUUUUCUAGGUACUCCAAAUACUCUAGAAUCAAGUUUAACGAUGCCGUCGAUGAUUCGAGAGUCGGAACAACGAAAACGAGCUGGAAUCACGGAAGGUCACGCUUCCGAUAGCAUAGUAGUAAUUUUACGAUAUCUUGCCUAGUUAACGAAGGGGCUCAAAAUCAACGGCUGAAAAUAAAAAUCUUACAAAUUAUAAUAAUAUGACAUUAAAUUUAAAUCAAAGAUAUUGAUCUUGUUUAUAUUAUGUAUAAGAUUUUCUAUCAAAAUUUCACGUGAUUCGGAUAUUCUACACCGUUAAACUGCAACGGCUCACUACGACCAUUGAAUUUGUUGAUUUUGAGCCCAUUCGAUCACUAGGCAAAUGAUAUCGAAAAAUAAUAAAAUUUAUUUUUCUAGGUACUCCAAAUACUCUAGAUCAAGUUUAAGCGGCCGAUCGAUGAUUCGAAAGUCCGAACAUCGAAACGAGCUGGAAGCACGGAAGGCUCCGUGCUUCGAUAGCAUAGUAGUCUCACUCAUAUAUAUAUAUAUAUAUAUAUAUAUAUAUAUAUUAUAUAUAUAUAUAUAUAUAUAAUAUUAUAUAUAUAUAUAUAUAUAUAUAUAUAUAUGACUAUUCUAAAUCCUAGAGAUAUCACAUAUUCACAUAACACUAACGAAUAACGAUCCGACACCAUCGUGUGGGUCAAUGAGGUCAAUGACUAUAAUAUAUCACUGUGGCAUCUAGUUAUUUCAUUUGAGGUAUAGUAGUUAUAUUUCUUUGUGUACGUCUCUGGUAGUAAUGGUAGUUCAUUUGUUACUAAUGUUUUACUAAUGUCUCGUUUGGACCAAAUGAUAGUAUAUAGGCCACUUUUCGGGCAGUUGUAUUCACAGGAAAUUUAUUUUAAGUUCUCACCCUAUUACCAAUCGUCCCUAGCUCAAGUGGCGAAAGGGUUUGGUGGUUGGUAUUCGAGACCCAAGUUCGAAUUCUAGUUGAUUCACAUUUUUAGCCAAGUUUAUUUCUAAAUAAAAUAAACGAAGCGGGUAGCAUAACUACCUUUCCCUCAAAAAAAAAAAGUUCUUACCCUACUGUACUUGUUGUUUUCAAAAUUAUCCUCUGCCAGUGAGGUGCGUGGUCGCAGCAACGGCUUCGCAAACUAUAUAGACUGUGGCUAGUCGGUCUAAAGGGUACCCACUUUAUAUGUUUAACACUAUGAAAUUUUUUUUGGGGAGUAAUGUAUUGUAAACCUUAAAGAGAUUGAAUUUGUGAUAGUUUUAAAUUAAAACUAUAGAUACUCUGAUGCUAUACUGUACUUAUAUCUCAUAUGUAUUAUGUAAAUUGGUGUAUGUUUCACUUCGCACUAAUAGGAGAAAUCUUGUUCGUUCGACUGGUCUGUCGUACGUGCUCAAGCAGGUUCAUUGGGUGGGUUUCAGAGCGUGACAUCGAAAGUUUUGGAUAAAAAUUAUAAGUUUAUUUUUUUGUUUGAUUUAUGGACUAUUGGGCUCAAAUAUGCAAACGAAAAACAGAAAAUGAAACCCAAGUUACAUUUACACUUAAGUCGAAGUCCAAAAUUGAAGUUAAAGUUUACAUAAGAAAUUUAAAAACUGCAUUAUCAUUGAAGGAAAAAAGUAAAAUUUAAUUUUAAUUUGAACUGCAAAUUUAUGUUUAUAAGUUGAAUAAAACUUUAAACUUAAAUUUGUGUUCACGAUUUAAACUUAAAAUUUGAAUUUCGAAUAAUGAAAUAUUUGGCAAGACUACAUAAUAUUCUAUCGAAUUAUUACAAAUAUUAUUAAGUUUAGACGAUGAAUUAAAACAUCGACCGUUCAAAUAAUUAUUUUGAAAAUAUGAUAAUAUUAGAUAGUAAAAUCGAAAGUCGUUCUAAAAAUUAGCUUCAAAAUAUGGAGUAGCUAUGUUGAGAUUGUAGACCUUUGGCUCCAUUUUGCUCAAAGGCUUUGGUUAUUUUUUUUGCUUGUAUUAGAAUUGAGCAUAUUUGACUUUGAGGGUGUGUUUGGUUCGCAUUAUGAAAGAUUACUAGGAAUGAAAAGAUGUCCGAGAAUCUUAUUCCUAUUCAUCCUAUUAUUAAGAAUGUGGAUUCCUGUGUUUGGUUCGCACGGUAAUAUUAUUUAGCCAUAUUAUUUAAUAUUACAAAAAAUAUACAAUUUAUUUAUUUAUUUUUUAAUUAAUUUUAGAUAAUGCUACUAAAAGUUUCAACAUCUUUUUAGAAAAAAGAGGGAAAGAGCAUAAUUUAGAGAGAGAGAGAGAACAUAAUUAAAAAAAUAGAAAAAGAUAUAGAGUCGAAAUUAGAGGGAGUAAGAGAAUUGAAAUUUUAGAAAGAGAGAGAAAAAGCUUAGUUUAGAGAGAGAAAAAAAAGUUAAAUUUUAAAGAGAAAGAUAAAUUUAGAUAGAGAUAUGAGGUUAGAAUGUAAAGAAAAAUAAUAUUAAUUAGCCGGCGGGUAGGGAGAAAGAAAGAGAUUAGACAUAUUAUGAUUACCCAAAUCCAUUAAUAUGAGAAUACCCAUCCUCCCUCAAGGGAAUAAGAUUAGUACUUUGGGGUGAAUCUUAUUCCCAAGUGAAUCCAAUAUUACCAACUAGAUUACUUAGUGUGUUUAGCCAAACACCGUCAUAUUUUUUAUUCCUAUUGGAUUACUAGGAAUCUCUAAAAGAUAGCGCGAAUCAAACGCACCCUGAUUGUCAUUUGCCAGGCAUCUACAAUGCUGUUUUGGAUGUGGUGUUUGUUUAAGUUGGAGUGAGUUCUCGGCUUCUUAUUUGUUGCUCGCUAGUUAGUCACCGUUUCAGACACUCAUUCCUUUUCAGCAAUAGAGCUAAGAAACGAGACCCCCUGUGGUGUUUGUUUCGUGAAGUUACUUCUCAGUGGGCAAGGCGUACGUCUUAAGUGGGUUGCUGGUUUGGCAGCCUUCGUCGACCCCUCGGUGAUUCAUGUUUCUAUAGAAUGCGCAAGACAUGACUCAGAUGAAAAGCGCACUAAUAAAAACACACGUAAAGAUUUAACCGCUGUCAGCUAUCGCUUUAAAUGUAACUAAUAUUGAUUGGUGGCAUACAUGGUAGCAGGAACUCUGGAUCCAGGGCAAAUUAAGCAAGUAAUUAUACAAUGAGAUUAAUAAGCAUUAAUAUCUUAUGUGUGUACAGCAUCAUUGUUCAAAUGUAGGAUUUCUACAGCUGGGCCACAAGUAUCUUGGGUCUGGGCUCCAAGUACUUUUAACUCUCUUGGGCUUUUGGUUUGGGCUGAGCCUAAUUAGGGCCUUUUUUUUUUUUUUUUUUUUUCAUCCAUCUAGGCCUUUAGAGCUGGUUUUUGGGCUUAGGGUCUGUCCAAAUAGAAAUUGUUACGACAUUCAUGACAUGAUGGGUUCUGCCUGGAUCUGGCAAUCUCUGCCCUAACUCGUGGGUAUUCGCAAAUUUAUGGAUAUGGAUAUUAAUUUCUCCUACCCAAAAUAUUAUGGAUAAAAUGGGUGGAUACCACUUUAAGUUAUUGACAUUUUGUACAACCUGCAGGUAUCUACAGUACCUGUAGGUAUAUGUAUAUAUUAUAUAUAGAGAGAGAGAGAGAGUUUUGCUAGAAUACUAUCGAUAGUAAACAGCUUAGUUUACUAUACCAAUUUGUUUUCAAUGAUAGAGCUUUCAAAUUGACGAUCGGCACUGUUAAACAUGAUUUAAACCAUUUAAACUAUCUGAAAAUUAAAUUUCACGUAUUUUCGAUAUUGUUCUCUUGUCCAUCAAGUGAACAAAUUAAAAAAUGAAUGGCGAAAAAUAAAUAUCCUUCGAAAAAUGAUGAUAUAAUUAUGUAUUUAAGAUCUACAGUCUAGAUCUUGUUUUAAAUGUUUUAAAAAAUUUUUAACAAAAAUUUAGUUGAUUUGAACUCUUCUAUACUGUUAAACGAGCAAAUGCACCAUAUCGGCCAUUCAAAUUACAGAUUUUGUGACCCUUUGAUCGUUCGGUUAGGGAUGUUAGAAAAUUAUGAAAUUUGAUGUCUAAAUAGUUUAAAUGGUUUAGAUCAUGUUCAAUGAUUCCAAUUGUCGUUUUGGAAGCUCUAUCAUAAAAAAAUAAAUCGGUAGUAAACCGAGCCAUUUACUACCGAUAGUAGCUCAAUCAAGCUCUCUCUCUCUCUCUCUCUCUCUCUCUCUCUCUCUCUCUCUCUCUCUAUAUAUAUAUAUAUAUAUCUCUCUCUCUCUCUCUCUCUCUCUCUCUCUCUCUUUAUAUAUAUAUAUAUAGUAGGGCUACUAUACUCUUAUGAGUAUAGAGACUUUCGUACUCAUAAGUUGUUUUUGAUGAUGGAACCGUUAAAUAUGAUCUAGAGUAUUUGAAACUUAUAGAAAAUAAAUUUAGCAAUUUUUCGAAAUCAUAAUAAAUUCCAUCAAACUGGCAUAAAAUGAACAGUUAAAAUCAAACGACGUCUUAAAAAUGGAUGAUUGGAUCCUUCAAUUUAAGAUCGGAGUUAUCGAUCUUUAUCUAGAUAGUGAAUAUAAUUUUCUAUCAAAAAUUCAAUCUAUUCCGAUUUUUUUAUACCGUUAAAUUAGCAAGUAUCNAUAAUUUUCUAUCAAAAAUUCAAUCUAUUCCGAUUUUUUUAUACCGUUAAAUUAGCAAGUAUCCCAUACCGGCCGUUAAAAAUUGUCAAUUUUGAGAUCUUUUGAUCGCAAGGUAAAUGAUGUCAAAAAAUUAUGUAAAUUUAAUUUAUAAAAGUUUUAAAUGUUCUGGAUAAUGUUUAACGGUAUUGAUCGUCGAUUCGGAAGCUCUAUCAUCGAAAACGACUUAUGAGUACGAAGGCCGGACUCUCCCUCUCUGUGUAUAUAUAUAUAUAUAUAUAUAUAUAUAGUUGAGCUAGUAUACUAUCGAUAGCAAACCGGCGCUUUUGCCACCCAUUUGUUUUCGAUGAUGGAGCCUCCGAAUCGACGAUCGGCACCGUUGAACAUGAUCUAUACCAUUUGAAGUAUUUAGAAAUCAAAUUUUAUACAUUUUCGAUAUUGUUCUCUUAUCCAUCGAGUGGACAUAAAAAUGAUGAUAGGAGUCUUGUAAUCAAGAUCAAGAGUAUAGAUCUUGUUUUAAAUAGUUUAAAGAAUUUUCUAACAAAAAUUCAAUUGAUUUGGAUAUCUUUACGCCGUUAAACGAGAAAACGCCUCAUAUCGACCAUUAAAAUUACAAAUUUUGAAAUCCUUUGAUUAUUAGGCAAAUGAUGUAGAAAAGAUUGAAAUUUAAUUUCUAAACAAUUCAAAUGGUAUAGAUCAUGUUCAACGGUGACGAUCGUUGAUUUGGAUGCUCCAUCAUCGAAAAUAAAUGGGUGGCAAAAAUGCCGGUUUGCUAUCGAUAGUAUUCUAGCUCAACUAUAUAUAUAUAUAUAUAUAUAUGCCAUGGCUAUUAUACUAUUAUGAGUAUUUAGGGGUGGAAACGAGCCGAGCUCGAGCGAGCUUAUGUCAGCUCAAAUUCGGCUUGAAAUUAAUUUCGAGCCUAAAUCUAGGCUCAAGCUCGGCUUNAGCGUGCUAUAUUUCUCUAAAAAAAUAAUACAACAUGUGAAAACUCCAAUACAUUGUAUAAUAUUCUCAGAAAUAGUGAAUGAUCUGAAAUGGACCGAACUUGUACAAAUAUGUUGCAUUUUGUGUGCAAACUCCGCAAUGUUUUGUAAGUAUCUUUUAUAUUUUUUAAAAUCAAAUUAUUUCAAUCACACUUAUUAAUUUUUUUUUAUUUUGAAAUGGUUCAGUCUUGACAAUGGCCCCCAGCAGUGAAUUUUAUGGCAGGUCUCUAAGUUUGGAUUAUCAUAAUUUUUUUUUGACAACGAUAAAAUUAUGAUGCUAUAUCUUAUAAUAAAAAAAUUGUCUUUACCGAAAAAUUAACUAUUCGGUGAACAACAUUUAAAACAGAAGAGUGAUUGAAAUGAAAAUCUGAAGAACAUCUUUAAUUAUGCACACGAAGUUCUAAAAGAAUGUACUUAAUAUUCUAGUAUAUGUGUAUGAGAGUUAAAGAGAAUUUUUCUUUAUUUGUUACAGUUAUAGAUAUAUUUCGAGUUAAGAGAAUUUUAUUUGUUUAUUACGGUUAUUAAUAUAUCAUAAAGAGAUGCCACUUCCAAAAAUAUUGAAAAUUUCUACGCAAUUUUCAUGACUAUUUUUGCAUAUCGGAUAAGACAAUUGCCACCCACCUAAAAGUAUAAACUAUAUAGUAUUUUGUUCUAAAAAAUAUAUUAGUAAUAUCGUAAGGUACAAAUCAUAUAGUAUUUUGUUUUAAAAAAUAUGUUAGUAAUAUAUUUGCUUGUUUUAAUUGAGUAGAGCUAGAAUACUUUUAUAAGUAUCACCCGAGUGAUACUUGUGUGUUUUUAGCCCUUGAAUUGAGAGAUGUGAGGUUGAAAUGAUGAGGGUAGGUGGUGGUAGGUGGUGGUAGGUGGAAUAAUGUUUGAUCCAAGGGCUAUUUGUAAUCAAAAAGUAGAUCCAAUGGCUAAAAACGUGAUAGCAACAUGAGGAUGAUACUUGUAAAAGUAUCCUAGAUAAACUAUAUAUAUAUAUAUAUAUAUAUAUAUAUAUAUAUAGGCUAGGGCUAUACUCUUAUGAGUAUAGAACACUUUGUAUUCAUAAGUUGUUUUCAAUGAUGGAGCUUCCGAAUCGACGAUCCACUCCGUUAAAUAUGAUUUAAAGUAUUUGAAACUUCUAGAAAAUAAAUUUCGUAAUUUUUCGAAAUCAUAAUAAAAUUCAUCAAGCGGGUAUAAAAUAAACGGUCAAAAUCGAACGACGUCUUAAAGAUGAAAAAUCGGAUCCUUCAAUUUAAGAUGGGAGUUAUUGAUCUUUAUCUACGUAGUGAAUAGAAUUUUCUAUCAAAAAUUCAACUGAUUUCAAUUAUUUUACACCGUUAAACUAGCAAAUAUUCGAAACCGGCUGUUAAAAAUUAUUAAUUUUGUGACCUUUUGAUCGUAAGGUAAAUGAUGUCGAAAAAUUAUAAAUUUUGAUUUUUAGACGUUUUAAAAACUCUAGAUAACGUUUAACGGAAUGGAUCGUCGAUUCGGAAGCUCUAUCAUCGAAAACAACUUAUGAGUUUGAGGGCGAUCGUACUCAUAAGAGUAUAGUAGCCCUAGCAUAUAUAUAUAUAUAUAUAUAUAUAUAUAUAUAUAUAUAUAUAUAUAUAUAUAAUUGAGCUAGAAUACUUUUAGAAGCACCAACCUCUUGGUGCUUCUAAGUUUCUAGUCCUUGGAUUUACUUCUUGAUUACUAAAAGUUUUUGGAUCAAACACUAUUUCACUUACCACCACCUACCACCAUCAUCUCAACCCUACAUCUCUCUAUCCAAGGAUUAAAAACUCAAAAGCACCAACCCCAUGGUGCUUUUGAGAGUAUUCUAGCUCAACUAUAUAUAUAUAUAGCAGGACUACCGUGCUCUUAGGAGCACGGAGGCCUUUGUGCUCCUGAGCCGUUUUUGAUGAUGGAAUUUUCGAAUCGACGAUCGGCUCUGUUAGACUUGAUCUAGCGUAUUUGAAGUUUCUAGAAAAUAAUUUUUGCGAUUUUUCGAUAUCAUUUAUCUAGCAAUUGAAAGUAUUCAAAAUCAAUAAUUUUUAAUGGCUGAAAAUAAAAAUCCUAUAAAAAGUGGUGAUAUAGCACUAAAAUUUUCGAUCAGAAAUAUUGAUCUUGUUGUAGAUAGUAUAAAGAAUUUUGUAUCAAAAUUUCAUUUGAUUUGAACACUUCUACACCGUUAAACUUGAAAACGACAGAUAUCAACCAUUAAAAAUUAUGAAUUUUGAAUCUUUUCGAUCAAAAUUUUUUACAAUGGGUUAAAAUUACUUUAAUUCAAACAAUAAUGAGAAAUUUAAUUAUUUAAUAGGCUGAAUUUUAUAGGAAUAAGUUAACGCUAUAUUUAGAAAGUAAUGGAAUCCACUUACUUAUAUCAAAACAAAUAAUAAAACUCAAAGAGCUAAUUUUACGAGCUAAGUUACAUCAAAACAAAUAAGAGAAGUGAUUGAAGUUAACUUUCAGACUGUAUAAAUUACGUUAAAACAAAUAAUAAAAAAUAACUAUACUUCAUAAAUACUCAAACACCACUGAACUUAAGUUAUGCCGGAUCUAAAAAUUCGUCAAUCCAAACGCCUCCUUAUUUGAAAUCCUCGAAAUCAACGAAUUGGACGGAAUAGAAAAUCGGGAUUCGUUAAAUUUCUUAUUUGGACGUAUUAGUAAUUGCAAUUUGACUAGAUUUCAGAUGAUUUUAAUUUUUCUUUCGUAUGAAAACAUAAGUAAAUAGAGUGAUUCCAGGUUACAUUUGUCAUGAUCUGUUUUUAUUUUAUGAUAUUUGCCGUGCUACGCAAAUUGUUAUUAUAAUGUAUAUCAAUAAGUUAAAUAUAUCUGCAGAUAUCAAUCGCUAUCCAUAUUCACGAGUAUUCGUUGGUUACCCGCAAAUUUACGGGUAUAGAUAUUAAUUUUUUUGAUCCAAAAAAUUAUGAGUAAAAUGGGUUGGUAUCUGUUAAGCGGUGUGUAUUUUGAGCAACCUGCAAAAUACCCACUGAUACCUGCAUAUAUAUUUUUUAAAUUAAAAAAUACAUAAUCUUUAUAAUGCUGACUCAAUAAUAAUGAAAAUUUUAUUAAUUUUGUAUCGUGAAAGUUUAGAAUGAUAAAUACUUUUAUAUUAUGUAAUUUAUGCGUUUUAAAAUUUUAUAUUGUUUAUUGUAUAUUAUGAUAUUUCAAAUAAAAAGUUACGUUAUGUUUUUAAAAAUUAUAUAUAUAUGUUUUGUAUUUGAAAAGUAUAGUAGUAAAAAAGAAAAAAAAUCUUCCGGAUAAUCCGCAUACUCACCCGCCCGCCUAUGAAUGGGUAUAGGUAAAAAUGUUUACUAUUUCAAAAUUUAUGGGUAAAUUUUUUCCAUAGUCGUAUGGCCCGCAAAUACAGUGAUCUACCCGCGAGUUAUCUAACCCAAUCGUUUGCCAGGUCUAGCUAAGUCCCCUUUGUCGUAAUAUUUAGGUUAAACUUCAAAUACCACCCAUAUAAUUUUACACUUUCUCACUUUAAUUAGUAUCAUGUGAUUUGAAGUGUAUCAUUUUAGUAUCUCGUGGUUUUAUUUUUCUGUUUUCAUCAACACCUCCGUCAACGCUGUAUUAAAUCACAUAUAAAACCUUCAGAUACCUCACCUAUGUUUUAUCGAAUAUAUUUAAUUUAGUACUCUAUGGUUUACCAAAUUUCACUUUAGUACUCUGCAUGUGGUUUUAACUUUGUCGCGGAUUUAACAAAAACAUCGGUAGUAAAAGAGUCCAAAUAUUAUUAAUAGUAUUCCAGCUCAACUCUCUCUCUCUUUCUAUAUAUAUAUAUAUAAGUUUUUUUUUAUAAUAAAUAACAUAUAUAGGUAUUUAAUAUAUAUAAAAUAUAGUUAUAGUAAAAUGAUAUAUCUUUGCAAAAAUGUGUAAGCAUAAGAUUACUGAUCUGUACACUUCUGCUCCUUGAUUUUUUUUAUAUUUUUUAUUUUUUUAUCUGCUUUAUUUGCUUGAAUUAUUUCUUUUGCUAAAAUUUAGUUCCGUCGUAAGUAUUUUUUGGUUACGAUGUUUUUUUCAUAUCUAUAAUAAAAUAAACCACAAACUUUUUUACUUAUAUCAAAACUUUACAUUUGUUACCCUUGAGCUAUUCUAAGCACUAGGUUGUAUCCAUGAAAUAACUAUAAUAUAUGGUUCAUUUAAUAAUAAACUUUUGGAUCCAAUUUGAAAUAAGUAAUUUUCAUAUCUUGUCACAUUGAAUCUGUGAUGAAGAAAAGGAAAAAUUGACCAAUUACAUUUCUAUUUCUAUUCGAUAUGGGAUUAUUAGAAUAUGACACAUUUUUUACUGUAAAACUUAUAUUUAUAUAAAUCAGUACGAUCUGUACGAUGUGUUAUUACUUAUGUAAAAAAAAUUAUUGCACUUAUGUAUUCCAUGUAAUACGUGUUUAUUGGGAUUCCAAAUGAAGCCUUAGUUCAUUCUACUCCUCUUCUCCCUAAACUUUGAAACAUUUAGAGGUUUAUUCUACUUCUUCAUUGCUUAAUAGAGGUGAAAAAAAUAUAUCGUAUAAGAAUCGAUACAAUCUGUAAUAUAUAUUAUUACUUAAAAAAUAAAUAAAAUAUUUUUGUUGUACUUUUGUAUCUCUUUUAGAAUCCCAAAUGAAGCCUUAAUUCUUCUAUAUAUAUUCAUUCUCUUCUUCCUGACUUUUAAAAAUACCAAUAUAUAGAUAUUUAGCUGUAUAAAUGCAAUUUAUAAAAUAUUAAGAGACUAUUUGUGCAAAAUGGUAAGUUACGAGUAGGGGCCGGUGGCAAUCCAGCUCGCUGUUCGCGAGCUAACUCGUGUUCGGCUCGAAAUGAGAUUGAGAUCGAAUUGCUCGCUUAGUAAACGAGCCGAACACGAGCUUAAAUUUUUCAGCUCGUUUAAUAACGAGCAGAAACCAGCGAGCUGGGGGUCAGCUCGUCUCGUGUCUCGGGCUCGAUACACAGACUCGAAGUACAUAUAUAUUUAUAUUAAUUAAUUUAUUAUAUUUAUAUUUUUGUUAUAAAGAUAAAUAAUUAUAAUAUAUAUAUUAUUUAUUACUAUAAUUUUAGCAAAAUAAAAUAUAAAUGAGUGCUUAAUUAUAAAAAGACUCAUUUAUAUGUAAAGUUUCAACUAUUAGAUCAAAGUCUAAUGAAUAAGAUUUUAUAAAUUUAUUUUUUAUAUAUAUUUAAUCUAAUUUAUUUUAAUUUAUUAUUCGUUGGCCAGCUCGUGCUCAACUCGUUAAGAAACGAGCCGAACAUGAGCUGAAUUUUUCGGCUCGAUACUUUAACAAGCCAGUAAACGAGCCGAACACGAGCCGACCCUAGCUCACUCGUGUUCGGCUCGUUUACACCCCUAGUUACGGGGGACUAAUAUGUGAAAAACCCGUUUGAUUACUUAAUGCUAAUUAAAACGCUUAACUCCUCUUAACUCGACAACCACAAAAAAAAAUAAAAAACAUGUGGUUUGAGCAGCUUUUGCCUACAGCAGCGGCCAAAGAUCUAGGCUUCACCCCGAAGCAAUUAUAAGACAGCGUUUGGUUCGAAAACAAAGGGGGAAAUAAGUUUUUUUUUUUUUUUUCUCAAUAUUGUGUUGUAUUGAGAAAGUAAUUUUUAGUUUUCUUUAAAAUGGAUAUAACUGAAACUAACUUGUUCCAUCAGUUUUUUCUGAAACAAGCUUGUUCCCAGGUGAGAAUAAAAUUAAUUAAAAUUUAAUUUUAAUUAUGAUAUUAAAUCAUUAAUUGAUCUAAUUACUAUAUUUAAAUUAUUAUUUGUUACUUAAAUAAUAAAAUAAUUAAUUAAUUUAUUAUUUAUAAUUAGUUAUUAAUAAUUUAUGUAUUUAUCCAUAAACUAAUAUUUACAUUAACCCACCAUUAAUAUUUAUAUUAAUUUAAUUAUUUUUUUACUAGUUAUAGCUGAAAUAGUUUACUAACUAAUUAUAAUUAAUUAAUUAACUAAUAUAUAUUUUAUUAUCUUAUACAAUAUUCAUAGCUAAUAAAUUUAUUAAUUUAUUAAAUUAUUUUUAAGUAAUAUUUUAAUAUUAAUUAAUUAGAUAAAAUAAUUUUAAUUUAAAAUUAUAACAUUUACUCCUUUUGUUCUAAUUUAACUAUACAAAUACUAUUUAUCUUAUUUUUAGAAUAGUUUUUACUUAUACGGAACCAAAUGAUGCGAAUGGCACCCCUCGUAAUUUUCUCAAAAUUCAAGGGCAAAUAAUUAUAUGCCUUUAUUUUCCUAAAAAAUCGUUUUUAAUGGCUUUUAAUGCGGUGGAAUGAAGAGGGAACGUGCCCGCAUGCAGAAUUAAAUGUUCGUAUUUAAUUUAAACAUUUAAUAUCUUACCAAAAUCCCAUGUUAAAUGACAAUUUUACCCCCCUCUCUGUUGUUAUUGCAUUUAUUGAAAUAUGUUAACAUAUAACCUUAUUCUACAUCUCAAUAUUUGUUUAAUUUCCGUAUUAAAAAUUUAACCAAAAAAAUUAAAAAAAAGAACGGCUGAGAUUUUACAUGUAAACUUAUUUUUAUAGAGUGUUAUAAUUGAAUUUAAUUAUUAUUAUAAAUUUUGCGAUCUAUAUUAACAAAAUGAACGGCUGAGAUUGAUUUAGAGCUAUGUGGGUCCCACUAACCACGUGCUUUUGUGCUUGGUAUCAUGGUAAGCGCAGUUAAAGCUUUUAUGCGGGGCCCACGUGGAGAAAUCCAAUAGGCUCCCCAAAAAAUGAAUAAUUAUUUAUUACAAAAAAAUUUUAUAUAAGGUAAUAUUUGAGAUGAUGACACGUGGAAUAUUAGGACAAGUAGGACCCACGUGUCAGUGUCAUGACCGUGAUGUGACAUGUAACCGUUACACCGACGACGAAGUACCAGAACCAUUAAAAAAAAAAAAAAGCAUCAAAAGCGUUUUUGUAUGAUGAAGAUGUAAUUCCUUGCGCUUCGCAUCCUUCUUGUUCUAUAGAAGCGAUUGCAUGCACCCGGUGCACCAUACACCGUAGUCCUAUAAUUUAAUAAUAAAAAUUUUAAGAUUAAAAUUUAAUUUACUAAUUGUAUUUUAUGGCAUUCAAAAGGUUUUAUAUUUCAAGGAUAUAUAAAUUUUAAACACCUAACCCACCUAUAUAUAUCUUUUUUGAUUAGAUGUUAUGGGACCUGCCGUAAUUAUAAAUGAUUUGUAUAGUUGCUCGCAGUUUGAAAUUAUAUAUUACAAAUUUUAUCACUUUAUAUAUAAAAUAGUGAAUAUUACUUUCAUUGUAAAGUAAAAAAAAUAUUCUUUAUUUAUUUAAAAGGUGAUUGGGGAGGUAAACUUAUCUAUUAUUUAAGAUUAUUUUUUUUUGUUGCAAUUGGAACAACUGUGAUCAAUUUGAAUAUAGUUCUAAUAUUGCUAUAGUUAAAUGUCUUCUUACAGUUUUAAUAUGGAAUAUAUCAUAGUUUGGCCUUCAAAUUAUUUUGUCAGAAUAUGAUAAAUCGUCUCGUAAGUGAAAUAUAUAUGUAGCAAAAUUUUUGAAGAAACAACAAUUAAAUUCUUUAAUUAUAAUUAUAUAAAAAAUUUCACACCGAAUAAGUUGUGAAUUAAAUAUAAUAAUUUAAAAACUUUACAGAUCAUAUCUAUCGAAGUAAAUUUUAUGAUGGUACAUAAAUUUCGCACAAACACACCAAUUGGUGUAGGCAAUAAAUUGCUGGUCUUUUUAUCCCCUAUUUUGUACCCUUCCCACCACCCUUUUCUCCUCCUCUCUUUCCUCACACAAUCAUUGUUUCAUCCUCCCCCCCAACCCUUCUCUCCCUUCUCUAUAUAUAACUAACUUUGCCGCUACCGCCCCCACAAUAAUUCUCUCUUUCUCUCUCCACAAUUUCAAUUCCAAUUCCAAUUCUUCUUCUUUUGCUUCUUCUUACCCUAACAUUAGCAAUGAGCUCGGAGGCCACAACAAUUGAGCAAUUCCCGGCUCUCCCCGCGAUACGGACGACGGCGACAUCUGACGAGCCGAUCAAAGCCACCGCGGGGGCCGGCGAUGAUGACAAUGACGAAUGCGCGACUCCGACGUCGGAGGAGCACAAGAUCAAACCGCCGCUCAAACUCGGCCCCAACGACCGGCCUCGCCGCGUCCCCCGCAACCUCGUCGCCGCGUUCGACGUCGCCCUCCCCCCCAAGAAGAGGAUCCGCGCAGGUUAAUAUAUGUUACAUAUGUGAAGAGCGAUGGAUCUUGUGUUCAUGACCCUGUUUCAACUUUUUUUUUUUUUUUCUUUCGAUGUUUUCUGGUAGAGAAUAACACGAACGAUGAUGAUGAUUAGGGAAUUACAUGCAAAAAAAUUGCUGUAAAAUAUUAGAGAAUUCUAAUUAAUUAAGAUCGUAUUUAGUUUCUGAGAAUUGUUUUUUGUGGUAAACAUGUGAAUAUUGUUGUAGCUUGUAAUUCACGGUUCUCUGCGAAUUUUUGCCAAUUUUUUUUUUUAAAAAAAAUUAGACAAUUAGUUAAUCCUACUAGGUACGUGGUCUCUAUUUCUAUUUCUAUUUCUGUGGAUUGCGGUGUCUAAAAAUAUCGGUUCAAAAAUUUAAAGCUUUUUUGAAUUUACUGUUCAAAAUAUGAGAAAAUAUGUAUUUUUGGCCACACAAUCUCAAACCAAGCCUAUCUUUGUUUCACCUUGUUCUUUCUCUCUAGAUUGUGAUCCCCCCUUGUGGUAUCUUAAAACACUAACAUUUAUAAUUUAAAAGGUGAAAAAAAUCAUAAUUUGUAGUAUAUUAUAGUAGAAAAAAAUCGAAAGCAUCUUCAAUUUGCUGAUCGUUCUCGGCUUUGUUUGGAAUUGCAAAACAUUAUAUUACAUGCUGUUAGAAAAUAUAAUAUAUUUUUUUUAUAUAUAUAUUGGUUUAAUUGCAUACAUGUCGAAUAACAGAUAUAUUCUAACAAAAUCUAACUUUUUAUUUUUAUCCCUGUAAAAGUUUUAAUAUUUUCAAAUAUACCAUUAGAAAAAUGAAAUUAACCAUAAGUAAAAUACUUAAAUUAACCUGNAUUAUAUUACAUGCUGUUAGAAAAUAUAAUAUAUUUUUUUUUUUAUAUAUUGGGUUAAUUGUAUACAUGUAGAUAUAUUCCUACAAAAUUUAACUUUUUAUUUUUAUCCUGGUAAAAAUUCUAAUAUUUUCAAAUAUACUAUUAGAAAAAUAUAAUUAACCAUAAGUAAAAUACUUAAACCUGAUUAGUGAAUCAGUUAAAUUGACUUUUCUACCCCUCUUAAUUAUAUUACUGGGUGAAUUACUUUUUGGGAGGCAUUUUUGUAUAAUUCUAACAUUUGAAAUUUUUGGACAGAUAUAUAUAUUUGUAAGGACUGCUAAAAAAUAAGCAGUGCUUUAGCAGUAACAAACUAAGAGAACAAGUAUAAAUAUCAUUUUAUAGAAAUAUACAUGCUAUUCCAUAUGUUUACAGAGAAGCUAUAUGCAGCUAAACUUUUUCACAUCUGUAUGGAAAAACAAAAAUAUAUAUUAUAAACAUAUAUAAACAGGCUUUGUUGGGUUGUGAAUUGGAGGUUUCGGUGCUGUUGAUCGAGUCUUGUGGAGGAUCUUCAGGUGAGUUGUAAAGGGUGUUAAAAAAAAAAAAACAAAAGAAAAAAGAAAAAAAAGAAAACUACAUAGAAGGUGGGUUUGGUCCUUUGUCAUGCGUUGGCAUUUGGCGAUAUAAUAGUGUUUGAGAGAAUGGAUGAGAGAGAAAGAGGAUGAGAGAGAGAGAGAGAGAGAGGUUGAUUCCGGUGGACAAGGGCACAUGCUGAAGUGCAACGUUGGGCAACUUCCGUUGCUUACAAGGACAGCUCACUUUUACCAACCCCCCAAUCCUGUGAAUUUACGGGAAUCGCCCGCCCCCGUGCGCUCCGGAACUUAUUGUCACAUAUAUAUUAGUAUAUAUAUUAUGUAUCUUAUAUACUAUAUAUAUAUAUAUAUAUGAGCUGGAAUACUUUACAAGUAUCCGCCCAUGGUGCCUAUUAAGUUUUGCCUUAUUGGAUCUAUUUCUGAUUAUAAUAACUUGGAUCUAUUUCUUGAUUACUAUAACAUCAUCUCAACCUCAAUCUCUCCAUCCGAAUGCUAAAAUUCAAAGCACCAAACCCUCAUAGUGUUUUUGAGUGUAUAUCUAGCUCAACUAAUAUUAUAUUUAUAUAUAUAAUGAUAUAUAUAUAUAUAAUAUAAUAUAUAUAAUAUAUUUAUAUAUAUAUAUAUACUCAGGGAAGUGUCUUGGGUAGUACGGGCAAUUUUUAAAAUUCGAAUCCGAAUCGGAUCUAAUAAUGUCGAAUUUGGAGCCGAAUCUGAGUACGACAAUUUUAAAAUUGUAUCUAAAUUUUAUCUGAUCAAUAUAUUCGAAAUUCGCUGCAAAACUUCAAACGAAAAUUAUAGUGUUUAGGAUGAUAUGGUCUCUCAUUAGGUUUUGUGGGUGGUUGUUGAGUAGUAUGAUCUAAAAGUGAAAUUGAUUAAAGUUGCAACUUCUAACGGCUAAAAAAUCGAUAAUAAAAGAGUCCCAAAUACUAUUAAUAGUUUUUAAGCUCAACUAUAUAUAUAUAUAUAUAUAUAUAUAUAUAAUAUAUUAUAUUAUAUAUAUAUACUUAUAUAGAGUGAAGAGAGAGAGAGCCAGAGAGAGAGAGAGAGAGAGCAGGGCUGUCUGUGUCUCAGGAGUAGGCUGGCAACGAGCGAGCCGGCUCGCGUUCGACUCGUGUCGGCUCGAUAUCGGCUCGCUCGAGCUCGGCUCGAAAUUAAAUGAGCCCGAGCUUGAACAAAUAAAUAAGCUCGAAAUUCAUUUCAAGCUGAGCUUGAGUAUUACUCAGCUCGUUCGAACUUAGGCUCGAAAAGCUCGAAAAGCCGAAAAAAAAAAAUAAUUAUAUAUAAUAAGAAUUAUGCGUACUAUUAUAUCAUAGUACGAGCCCUUCGGUAUAUUGGUUUUCGGCCGUUGAUAAAAUGAUUGGCGGUUAGCAACAAAAGGAUGAUAGUUGGUUACGUUAAAUUGAUAGUGGUCCCUAGGAUUGAGUGGUGUGUUGUUUUAAUGUAUAAUCUUACAGAUGAAAUGAUCAAGACGAUCAACGUAGAGAAAACAUCAAUAGUACCAAGGGCUUGUUGUACGUAUCGAUAGUAUAGUAGCAGACUGCAUAUAUAUAUACUACAUAUAUAUAUAGGCUGGGGCUACUAUACUCUAUGAGUAUAGACCCCAUUGUAUCAUAAAUUUUAACCGGUUAUUUGAUGGGAUGUGUGGGUUAGGAUGCAUGGUGGUCCCCACUAGAAUGAGUAGGGCCCCUAGGGUUGAGUGGUAGUUGGUUAAAUAGUAGAUUCCUAACGGAUGAAAAUAAUUAAUGAAUAUAAUCUAAGGGUCGAAAACGUUAUGAGUAUAGGAGCAAUUGAUCAUAAAUGUAUAAUAUAGCCGGAGCUAUUAUAUAUAUAUAUGUAUUUUAAUUUAUAUAGGCUUUAAUUUAAUUUGGGCAUUAUUGUGGCCCAUAAAAUCAACCUAACAAGUACAUAGCACAUUGAGAGCCAAACUCAAAUUUACAUAAACACGACUCUCUUCUUCAAUACUUUCACUUAUUGCACUAACCUAAAAUAUGAUAACUUCAAUUUCAAAUGCCUAUUUUUUUGCUCUCUCUCCUCUCAUCUCAAAGCUCUCAUCCAUGUCAGAAGUCCAUACGCUCACUAUUCUUAUAAUUAUUUUGUAUUUUGAACUAUUGGACAUGUUCAUCAAAUUGUAGAUAAUGUCUAUAAAAAUUAAACUAUUGAUUAUUAAAUGUCGAGAAUUUAAUCGGCCGUUUAGACGCUCGAGCUCGGCUCGAUCGAAAUUAGGCUUCGCUCGAGCUCGGUCGAAUAAUUCAAGCUUAGCUUGACCUAAAUUUAAGGCUCGAUUAAUUUCAAGCGAAUUUGAGGCUGACUAAGCUCGCUCAGCUCGUACUCGUUUCCCCCUACUCAGAGACACGGAGGCCUCCGUGCUCCUGAGCCAGUUUUCGAUGAUUGAGUUUUCGAAUCGUAACGAUCGGCUCCGUUAAAACCUUGAUCUUACGUAUUUAAAGUUUCUAGAAAAUAAUUUUUGCGAUUUUUCGAUAUCAUUUACUAGUAAUCGAAAGAAUUCAAAAUCAAUAAUUUUAACGGCUGAAAAAAAAAAUAAAAAAUCACUAAAAUUGGUCGAUAUACACUAAAAUUUCGAUCGCAAAUUAGAUCUUUUGUAGAUAGUAUAAGAAUUUUCUAUCAAAAUUAUCUGAUUUGCAUACUUCUACACGUUAAACCUUUGAAAACGGCAAUAUUCAACCAUUAAAACUUAUGAUUUUGAAUCUUUCGAUCAUAGGUAAAUGUAUAUCUGAAAAAUCGCAAAAAUUAUUCUAGAAACUUCAAAUGCCUAGAUCAAGUCUAACGGAGACGAUCGAAUUCGAAAAUCUCUCAUCAAUCGAAAAGGCUAAGAGCACGGAGGCCUCGCGUGCUCCUGAAGUACAGCAGCGCCUGCUAUAUAUAUAUUACGUAUAUAUAUAUAUAAUAUAUAUAAUAUAUAUAUAUAGAGCUAGGUCCUAUGCUUUCGAAAGUACGGGUCGAGCCUCGUGCUUGUAAGUUGUUUCGAUGGAUGGGACAUCCGAUUCGGCGAUUCUUCCGUUAAACUUGAUCUACGCUAUUGGAACUAUUUAGAAACCAAAUUUCAUAAUUUUUUAAUUUCGUUUGUCUAGGAAUGAGUAGCCUCAAAUGAAUGCUGAAAAAAAAAUAUCAUAAAAAACAGUGAUAAAUAACUUAAAUUUCAAAUCGGAAGUAUUGUUCUGUUCUUGAAUUAAGUAGAAUUUUUUAUUAAAGUUUCAUAAUAUUUGGAUAUUUUUACACCGUUGAACUUAAAAAUGUGCCACAUCGGCCGUUAAAAUAGUCAUUUUGGACCUGUGAUCGCUUGGUAAAUGAUGUUGAAAAAUUAUAAAUUUGGUUUCUAGAUAAUUCCAAUAGCAUAGAUUAUACCUACGGAGCCGAUCGUCAAAAUCGGAUGUCCUAUCAUCGAAAACAACUUACAGUACGGAAGCCUCCGUACUUUCGAAAGCAUGGGACGACUAUAUAUAUAUAUAUAUAUAUAUAUUAUAGCACAUUGGUGUUGUAAUUUUUUUACCGUUAGAUUUACUCCUCUGAUUAUUUUCAACCAUUAGUAUUAUACUAUUCAACCAACCACCACUCAACCCUAGGGGGCCCACAUCAUCCUAACGCAUAUCUCUUAAUAUCCAAUGGCUAAAAAUCUACAAGCACAAUAACUUUGUACUUUAAAAGCAUAGGAGCUCAAUUCUCUCUCAUCCUCUCUCUCUCUCUCUCUCUCUCCCUCUCUCUCUCUAUAUUAUAUAUAUAUAGAGUUUGACUGGGCUACUAUCGGUAGGUAAACUGCUCGGUUUACUACCGAUUUGUUUUUGAUGAUAGAGCUUUCAAAUCGACGAUCGGACCGUGAACAUGAUCUAGACCAUUUAAAUUAUCUAGAAAUCAAAUUUCAUGAUUUUUUGGCAUCCACUAAUGAAUAAUCAAAAGGUCACAAAAAUCUAUAAAUUUAAUGGCCGAUAUGGUGCGUUUUCUGUUUAACGGUAUAGGAAGAGUUCAAAUCAAAUAAAUUUUUGUUAAAAAAUUCUUUAAACUAUUUAAAAUAAGAUCUAGACUCUAGAUCUCAAAUAUAAAAAUUGUAUUAUCACUUUUUGAAGGAUAUUCAUUUCCAGCCAUUCAUUUUUCUGUUCACUUGAUGGACAAGAGAACAAUAUCGAAAAUGUGUGAAAUUUGAUUUCCAGAUAGUUUAAAUAGUUUAGAUCAUGUUUAACGGUGCCGAUCAUCAAUUUGGAAGCUCUAUCAUUGAAAACAAAUCAGUAGUAAACCGAGCCGUUUACUACCGAUAGUAUUCUAGCAAAACUAUAUAUAUAUAUAUAUAUAUAGAGUGGAGUUAGAAUACUUUUAGAAAUACCAAGUGGGUGGUGUUUUAGAGUUUUUAGCCCUUGGAUGGUGAGAUGUGAGGUUGAGAUGAUGGUGGUUGGUGGUGGUAGAUGGAAUAGUGUUUGAUCCAAAGAAUAUUAGUAAUUAUGGAGUGGAUCCAAGGAUUAGAAACUUAGAAGCACCAAGUGGAUAGUGCUUCUAAAAGUAUCCUAGCUCAACUCUAUAUAUAUAUAUAUAUAUAUAUAUAUAUAUAUAUAUAUAUAACGAUUCUGAUUCGAGUCAGAUAUAAACAAAAUCUAUACCCGAAUUCAAAUCCAUCGAGUUUUUAUUUUUUUUAUAUCCAUAUCCGAAAUUAUAUUCAUUUAGCAUCGGAUAAAUCUGUUCCGCUCGUGUUGGCGCUCGGAUUCUGGAUCAGAUAAAAUUUCGAGUAUCUGUACUCGUUGACAUCCCUCCAAUAUGCCUCUUUUGCUGUUUAAGUCUUUUACCGUAGAAUAUUUUAGAAGUUACAUCAAGAUGACUAGAAAAAAAAUUUUACUUAUUGAUGAGUGAGAGUAUUAGAUUUACUUCCAAUUUCUGUGUAGGGAUAGCAUUGCUCUAAAUAUUUGACUACACCUUAGUCCUCAAACUUUGAGGCCCAGGACAUUUUGGCCCUUAAACUUAAUUAUCAUUAUUUUUUAAUCAAAAAUUUUAAAUUAUUGUGAUUAGGUUUCACAGUCUAAUUUAUUUGGUUAAAUUGUAAUUUAGUGCUAAUAUAGUAUUGAUGUGAUAGUAUUAUAAUUAAUAACUUGGAAAUUUUUAAGAUACCACGUAAUUAUUAUAUUAAUGAAAUAUCAAUAUCUGGUCAACUAAAAUGGGCUUUGAACUUCAUUGUAAUAAUUUAAAAAUGUGAAUCAAAUUUCAGGACCAAAGUUCAUGGGCCUCAAAAUUCGAGGACCAAAUAUGCAAUUUAGACUAAAUAUUUAAUAGGGCAUUUUAGACUAGAUUGCAUAAGCCAAUUAAGAAACUAUGCUUAUUUGUAAUAAUAAAAAAAAAAAUUCAUUCCACCUUAAAUUUAUUAUCAUUAUUUUCAUGUAAAAUGUACUAAGACGCCCUCAUUUAUAGUCCGUUCUGAAAUAGGUCCCUCUUGUUACAUUUUUCUUAUUAACAUCCUCUCAACUUCCUCCCUUUUUGGUUUGAGUUAUUCUAGUACUUUAACUAAGUUGAAAAUUUGGUUCAAUUUAAUCUCCAUUAGUUUUCAGCUGGUAAUUGUUCGAAUUUUAUUUGCCAAAAAAAAUUAUUAAAGCUAUUAAAUUUUGUAAAAUUAUCAAUGAAUUUGAUAAAAUUUCUAACUUAUUUAACCUAACUUCAAAAAAUUUAAAAGAUGUGCCAUGAAAAUAAAAUAUAUAGUUGGGGUGUGGUUUUUCCACAAUGACCUAUAGUUGAGGGGUGUCCUUACAUUUUUACCUUACAUUUUUACCUUACAUUUUUAGAGAUAAUUACCUAUAUACCUCUUAAAACUUCUGAAUUAUUUAUAAACCACGAAUUUUUUUUUACUUCAAAUAUAUUUCUUCUAUAUUUCUCCGUUAUUCAAAAAUAACCCUACUGUUAAUAUAUACUUGUUAAGUAAUCUCGGAUUAAACUAAAGUUAAAUUUCUACCAUAGUUUAAAAGAAGUCAAAAUAUCUCUUUUGUUCCUAAUUUAGAAGCAAAUAAGAAAAGUUGGUGAUGAUAUAAAGGUAUAUUUUAAAGGGCAAAAUAAUAAUUUUAUAGAGAUAAUAACUGUUCCUAACAGUUCAAGAACAAAAUCUAACUCCAGGAUUAAAAUUUAAAAUGUUAAAAAUGUGUUUUUUAUAUUAACCUUCUAAGUGAGCUAAAUACGAAAGUCGGAAACUUUUCAGGAGUAUAUAAGCAAUUGCACCUAUAUUUUACAUUGCUGUAAUCACAAGAAUUGCUUAUCUCUGUCACAGGUAUAACGACCAACCCCAUUCCCAUCCGAUGUGGGACUAUUGGGAUGUCACAGACUCCCCCGUUUAGGGGUUGACGUCCUAUGUCACAGACUCCUCCCGUUUAGGGGUUGACGUCCUCGUCAGCUGUAAACACACACAGUCCAAGAUCAAUGUAGCGAUGUGAGACUUCUCUCGCUAGCCUUUGUCAUUCCGGCCCUGAUUUAGUCUGUCAUUCCGACCUUAACUCAGUUAAGACUCAUCUCAUACGUCCGGCUGGUGAACUGCCUCUGAUACCAAAUAUAAUAACCUAACCCGCUGGCGAUGUGAGACUUCUCUCGCUAGCCUUUGUCAUUCUGGCCCUGAUUUAGUCUGUCAAUCACCGAUCUUGACUUAGUCUAUCAUUCCCGACCCUAACUCAGUUAAGACUCAUCUCAUACUUCCGGCUGGUGAACUGCCUGUGAUACCAAAUAUAACAACCUAACCCGCUAGCAAUAAUAACUUGUUAGGUCCAAACCACCAGCCCAAAAUACUUAAGCCCAAUUAUUAUUACUAGGGUGGAGUCCUCUUAUAAACUCAAUGAUAACGCCAUUCUCAUCCGAUGUGGGACUAUUGCCAUGUCACAAUAGGAUAAUCUUGGUCUUAAGAUUGAGAAAGUAAUUCUUUUGUAAAAUAAAUAUUCUUUGUGGAAAACAAGGAAAUAGAUGUUUUUAAUUCUUAUCUAAUUUUGUGAAAAGUAUGAAGAUGUUACAUAGACCCACCACAAUAAUUUGUACCAUAUAUAAAAGUGGUGGGGUGGACAUUCAUUAAUGAUGCAAAUAAAUUAAAAGGCAAACUGUUAUUGUUUGAUUUAUAAGGCAAACUGUUAUUGUUUUAUUUGUUUUAGCUUAGAUUGGAAGGAUCAAUUUUGCACUUUUAACCUAAAACUACCAAGCAUAUACAUGUCCCAAAACUAAAUGUGUAUUCUCUUUAUUAAUUUCACAUGCACAUGCACUAGUAGAAGGGUUAAUUAAUUAAAAAGAUUGAGAGCUAAAAUAUUCUUAGAAGUACUAAGCUGGAAUUACCUUCAUAUCAUUCUUGAUGAUGAAGAUCAAAAUCGACGAUGGACAUAAUUAAGCUUGAUCUAUUACUCGAUCGUCAACUUUUUAGUAACCAAAUUUGUGAUCCGUCGACAAUAUUUACCUAUUAUUCAAUAGAUCUCAAAAUUUAUAAUUUUCAAUAGCAAAUAUAAAGUACAUUUGAGAUCACCUGAUUAGUAGAUAAACUGUAUUAAUAAAACAAAAAAAGUUUGAUACCAACGAAGUUCAAAACACUGUAGAUUAAUUAUGUUUGUUGUGAUUUCGAUGCCCGUCAUCGAAAACGACGUUGAAGCAUUAGUAUAGUUUUGUACGUAUUUUUGAAAGUAUUCUAGCUCAAUUUAUCAAACCAAAAAGAUAUGCAACUUACCUAAAUUAUAAUUUAUUUUGAUACGACUAUCCAAUAUUAAUUUUCUUUGAUUUUGGUACCUCGACUUUAAUUGAAUCAAAAAUAAUUUGAGGGUAAGUAAUUAGGUUAAAAAGAAGGGUCAUAUUUCAGUAGUUUCCAUAAAUUUUUACCUAUAAGAAUAAUUUUUUAUGGUUAUGGUAUUAACUAUAUAUGGGCUCUUUACUUGCUUGCAAAUACCAUCAAUGUGGCAAAUUUUGGUAAGUUAAUUUAUCAACCUCUUUUGUGGCAUAGACUUUAGGCAAGUUUGGUAUUAUAUUGAGGGAAAUCUAAUACUAUUAAGUAAAAUAAAUUUGGAAUGAAGGCACAUAAAAUAUGUUUUUUUUCCUUUUUUUUGUGGGUUUGCAAAAAAAAUAUAUCGUGAUCGAUCAUUGCGAUAUGUCAAAUACGAUAUUACGUACGAAAAAUAUUCGAUAUUUUUUUUUUCAAUUAUACUUUCUCAUUGCAUGUAAUGCUAUUUUUCUGCUAUCCCAAGUGGAACUUUUGAUUAAUGGUUAUUAAGCAAGAAAAGAAUGUUUUAUACAAAAACAGAAAAAGCAAGAAGAGGACAUUAGCUCUUAAAGAUACAUUACUGUAAUUUUGUUUUUCUUUCCCUUUUUUAAAACAAUUAUGGUUUAGUUUAGUAUUGCAGAAAGAUUGUGUUAAGUGCAGUAUUUUUCUAUGCGUAAUAUUGCCUUGUGCGUAUUGUAAUAAGUCGGUUACAAAAUAUUUUCUACGAUCUCACUGAGAGAUGGAGAAGGAUAUUCCUAUAUGCUUUCAUCGGCCCCUACUCCAUUAUUCUUAAUAGCAUUAGAUGGCCCUCAAUACCAAAGUGUACAAGCACUUCAUCGUAGACCAAUACUACUAGCUAGAUUCAUUGUAGAGCACUUGCGCAGAGUUUGUAUAUCUGAUAACCCUUUGGUACUAAACUUUUUAAUUGGUUCAAACUCUUUAAUUAACAGCUCUAGCUUCUCCUUCAAGUGUGGAGGAUACCAAUCAACUAAUAGCUGGUCCUAAGAGUGACACCCCCAGUUCUAUAUAUGAGAUAUAAAAGAACUAAAUCUCUUAAUCCAGUUAUAGCAUUUUGAAUAGUGGCUAGAUCCAAAAAGUUAAAAGGAUUAAGCGUAUUAGGAUUAAAAUAGUUAUAGAAUAGGUGAUCUCCUGAGCAGCAGGCAUCACACUAAAUCUCUAUGUGGACAAUGUUGGCAUUAAGUUCUCUCUACUGUAAAAUUAUAUUAUUACCUAAUUAUCUUUCUCUAAUAUUUUCUUGGAAGCAUGCAGAAGCAGCCAAUUGAAGAGCUGACAAGACUUGCUGGUUUUUAUAUAAAUCCAGCAUUGCAACAAUUCUAGUACCAAAAAGGACUUGGCUGCAUGUGUGACUCCUCCUCUUCCCCCAAUUGCCCAAAUUUUAAGCUAGAGUCCACAGGCACCUUUUUUUGUGCUGUUCAGUUGUGACAGGAAUUUAAGAACAUGAUGUUCUUGACAGCACUGACAUGCUGAUUUGGUGACAUCCUAGCACUUUUGCUAACUGAUAAAACUGCACAGCAGGGAUAAAAAGAAAGAAUUAAUCUAAGCAUGCAAUUGCAACUCUAGGUUCAAAAUUAACUCAAUUACUAGGACUAUUUUUGAGUGAUACACUUUGAGUAAUAUAAUGUUAAGCUCUUUGUAUAGUAAGAGGUCAUGAGAUUUAUUGUCACUAUUUAUGGCAUAUAUUACUCUGUUAUUUCGUUAUUCUUUUCAUUGUACAGAACGAUUAAAAGUAUUACUGAACUGUUUUUUACAAGAUUGAUCUUUUGUGCAAUACCUAUUCCCCCCUUUUUGUUUGAUGAUGUUUGUACCGAGUUUUGAUUUGGUGAAAUAAAUACUGUUUCAUAUGUCGGCGUAAUUAUCUCCAAUUGGAAAUUCAGGCACUUCAUAUAAAGUCAUGGGUUUAUUGAUAAUUAAAGAGCAAAUGGGAAAUUUAGGUAUCUUGGUGCAUGACAAAAUAUGAUAUUGCAUAAAGGUACUAAUAUGAUAAUGAUAGGAAUAUUAAAUUUAUGAAUAGUUUCCCAAGUUUGAUAUAUUUACAUCAAUAUAAUCUACAAAAAAAAAAAAAAAAAACAAUCAGUACACAAAAUAUAGUAAAAAUUGCUUUAUUUAUAUUACUGUUAGGUAUUCUAUGAUAGAUAUUUUCCUAGCUAGAGGUCCUCUGUGAAUGUGAGUGAGAGUAUUAAGACUAUUACUGGAUUAUUUUCUAUCAUAUCCAUAUGUAAAAUAAAUAUUUUAAUAUUUAGAAAAAGGAUAAUACGAAAAUAGGAGGGGCAUAUUUACACUCUCACUUGGUGAAUUUGGAUUAGGCAAUGUUGCAAAGUGGAUCUGUAUUAUUAACACACAUAGAAACUGUUACUUAUUUUCAUACAAUUAAGUACGAUGCUUUGAGAUAGAAAUUUUGGAAGAAAAAAAAAUCGUUUUUCUUUUUCUCUUCCGAUCCCUCUGGUAGCAAAUAUGUUGAAAAUUUCCAAUCCAUGAAUCAUAGAUGAAAAACCAACCGUCCCUAGAACAAGUGGCAAAGGGUUUGGUGGUUGGUACCCGAGACCCAAGUUCGAAUUCUAGUUGAUUCACAUUUCCAGCUAAGUUUAUUUCUAAAUGAAAUAAACAAAGCGGGUAGCGUGCUACCUAUCUCUUAAAAAAAAAAAGAAAAAAAGAAUCAUAGAUGAAAAGGCUGUAAAUCAUUUCUUUCAUAGGGCCUGCUUGUUGGUCUGCAACUAAUAUUCAAUUUGUUUUAAAAAUAACUUUCAGUUGAACUGAAGUUCAGGUAAAAAUUAUUUUUUCACGGCUGUUUGGUUGAUAAGUCAAUGGCUUUGAAACUAUAGUUAUUUAUUCCACUUUUGUUGUUUAUUUUACCAAAAAUUUUCACAUUAGUGCAUAAAAGAAUAAAAAAGAAAUUACAAUAAAUAAUUUUUUAUUAAUUUUUUUUUUCUCUCUUUGUCUCUCGUAAGUGAUUUCGCCACCACUCAAGUGAAGUCAGUAGUUAUAGUAUUCUGAAGAAGUAAAGUUAUGAGUAAAUUUAAUUUACAACAUACUAAACAAGAAAAUUAACUUUAUCUGUCUCCACUUUCAAUAAAAUAAAUAUGUUGCAUAAAUAUUGUUAAAAUCACCGUUCUACGAGUAAUUUAAGCUUUUGAAGAAUGANGAAGAAAAAGUAUUCUGAAGAAGUAAAGUUAUGAGUAAAUUUAAUUUACAACAUACUAAACAAGAAAAUUAACUUUAUCCGUCUCCACUUUCAAUAAAACAAACAUGUUGCAUAAAUAUUGUCAAAAUCACCGUUCUAUGGGUAAUUUAAGGUUUUGAAGAACAAUUGUUGUUUCCAGCACUUCAACACGGUAUCAGAGCAGGAAAUUUUGAGUUUACUUAGUUUAAUUUUCUCUCCUUUUAUUCAGUUCUGCUUGUUGAGCCCGUAACUACUAUGAUUGUUUUGCACACUUUUGGAGAAAAAACUUCAAUGAACACAUUACAAACCUACACACAACCAUAAAUAUAAUAAGAGUAAACUUCAAUUAAUUUGUCUCAUGUGGUUUUGCUCAUUUUUAUUUUGCACCCUAUGGUUCAAAAAGUUGUAUAUAACUAUCUUGUGAUUUAGCUCAUUUCUUACUUUGCCACCCCGUAAUUUAAAAGUUACACUUAACUAUUUUAUGAUUAUCAAAAAAUUUUACUUUAUUACCCUAUUUUAUAGUACAUUUUUUGGAUAAAAAUAAAGAUAAAGUUAUAAAAUUGUUAAGUGUAACUCUUUGAAUCACAGAAUGAUGAAGUAAAAAAUAAGCUAAAUAAGAUGGCAUAUUGAAGUUAUGUGAAGACCUCUCAACAAUAUGGCUUUUUCAAAACAUAUUCUCAAGUUUUUUUUUUUUUUUUUUUUUUUUUUUUCAAUCAAGUUUUUCUAGUUAAAUUUAAAGUUUUAUUUAAAGAGUGGCUUUAUUAGCAAUUCAUCAUUGAUUUUUUCAGUUUGAUAAACAAUAAUAGUUAAAAAGAAAAACUAUGAGUUAUGAUAAUAUUGCUGAGUAAUAUAAUAAAAGCUCAAUUUACUUCACUAAAAUUAUUCAAUUCUCGCUAACAGCUGAAGCUCGAACAAGAAUCAGAAACCUAUGGACUUUUACAGAAAGAUUCAAACAAUUCAGCUUUGGAUGGAUUUCGAGAUUUUCUAAAAAUGCUAUAGUUCAUGAAUCGCUUAGCCAAUUAGGGACUCACCAGCAAAAAGCUUUUCUUUUUAUCUUCUGUAGAUGAGUUCUUUCAAUUAGUACCACUUGAUUAAUCGAAUAAAAUCGGUUUAGAGUGUGUUUUCCCUCACAAAAAAUAAAAACUCGAUGUACGAGAACAAAAAGUCAAAAGCUGAGAGGGGUGUGAAUUCCAAGAAAAAAAAAAUCCAAGUACUUGGGGUCGUAUUAUAAUAGGUUAUAGUUGAAGGUCUGAGAUUUUUCGUCUAACACUUAAAAAGGAUCAAAAACAUGCAUGUUGAGUUCAGAUAUUUCAAUUUGGUUUGCUCUACGUGCUACAGCAGCGUCGAGUACUUAGCGAGAAUAUUAGGCGUACAGUAGAUAUAAAUUAGAAUUAUGAUCUGUCUAUAAUGUAAUAAUAGGGCGAAGAAUCUCGAUGGACGGUUUAAGUUUUGCAGAAGCAGCUCUAGUCAUGUUCUGUAUUCUUUAAAUUGGUCAGUGCUAAUGACAAACUCAAACGCCGUGGAUCCAAAUGUUAGCCUUCUUGGAACUGAGUCUUUGUAAAGGGCUUAAGAUGGCUACUACUGGAUCGAGUCCUUCCCCAAGUUACAAAAGCUAUAACUACUAUGGCUACUGUUGGAUUGGAGAUCAUGUCAUGAUCUGUAUAUUAAAUUUGGAUAUGCAGCCAUGUUAUCUUUGUACCCUGCAAGUGCUUCUUUGUUCUCUUGAUCAUGUGAGAGCAGCAAAAGCCAACACUGUAGAGAGGCUUUUUUUUUUUUUUGGGGCUAGGGUGCAGUUUUUGGAUCCAAAAUGGUACAGAUUGUGCUCUAAAAGCUAAUAUAAAAGUUGUGCAGUAUAUGUCCUGCCAUGAGUUACAUGUGCUCUCAAAAUCCCAAGUUCUUAGUUAUUUCGCCUUGGGCCUUUUGGCUUAUAUUCUCGAAAAAUAAUUUUUGCAGAAUUAAUUUUUAUUUGAAGAAUUAAAUUUGGUUAUAAGUUGUAGAGCGUUUGACUGAAUUUAGAUGACAAGCGAUUUUUCUAGAGAGAAAUUGUAAAACUGUUUGGCAAAAUUUUUUUGAUAUUGGCAUAAAAUAAAUUUUUUUUACUAACUUUUAUUUUUAAAAAAUUAAAUUUGAAUUAAAAUUUUAAAUUUUAAAUUUUAAAUUUGAACAAAAAUUUAAAUUUUUAUAUUUAAUUUAAAAUAUAAAUAUAAAAUUUAAAAAUUUAAGAUUUAAAUUUUUAAAACUAAAUUUUAAUUAUAAAAUCUAAAUCUAAAAGUUCAAAUUUAAAAUUUAAUAAAAUUCGAAUGUUAAAAAUUUAAAAUUAACCGUUAAAAAUUUAAAAUUAAAUUAAAAUUAAAUUAAAAAUUUGAAUAGAAAUAUGUAAUUUUAAAAUCAAAACUUAUAAUUUUAAAUUUUAAAUUUAUAAAUUUUAAAUUUUAAACUUUAAAUUCUAAAAAUUCAAAAUUUAAAUUUUAUCCUAAAUUUGAAAUUUGAAAUUUAAAAUAUAAAAUUUUGAAAAUUAAAAUUUAAAAUAGAAAUUUAAUAACUAAAUUUUAAAUUUAAAAUUUUGAAAGUUUAAAUUUAAAAAAUUCGAAUUUGAAAUUUCAAAUACAAAUUUAAAAUUUGAAUUAAAAUUUAUAAUUUGAAUCUAAAAUACAAGUUUUAGCUAUUUUUGAUUUUGAGCUUUGAAAAUNNNNNNNNNNNNNNNNNNNNNNNNNAAUUAUAAAUUUUAAAUUUUAAAUUUAAAUUUUGAUAUUUUAAAUUUUUGAAAUUUAAAAUUUGAUAUUUUAUAUUUUUUUAAAUUUAAAUAUGAUCUUAAAUUUAAAGUUUGAAAUUUAAAAUUUAAAAUUUUGAAUUUAAAAUUUGAGAUUUUAAAUUUCAAAGUUAAAAUUUUAAAUUUAGAAAUAUAAAUUUAAAAAUUUAAAAAUUCAAAUUCAAAUAUAAUAAGUGGAUAAUAUCAUUAUUUUUUAUUUACAAAACCUAUUAUCUUUCUUAUUCCAUCUUACCUAACCAAACGCUAAUUUUUUUAUUCCAGGAAUAACCCAAUUUUCAUCCAAACGCAAAAUUGAUCUAAUCCUCGCUUAUACCUCAAUUUAUACCUAUCCCUGGAAAAGCCACUUUUUUCUUAUCUCCGAACCAAACAAUACCUAAAUGGUUAUUAGUGGUUAGUCUAGUUUCUAACUAAUUUAUUUUCUAAAUUUGAUUUGUUAUUAAAUAUGUUUCCAGUUUUUUUUAAUUAUAAAUUUUUUUAUGUGUUUUUAAUCACAUUCAAUUUUGUUUUCUUAAUGUCUACCUAAAUUUAAAAAUUUGAUUUGAUUUUGUAAAUUUAGAUUAAAGUUUGAGCUUAGAUACGAAUCAAACACAAAAAUUAAAUUAAAUUUUUAAAUCCAUUAUUUGAAUUUGAUAGGUUCAUUUUUAAACCAUUCUAUUUUUUAAAAAUCUAAUUAAUUUAUUUUAGUUAUUUUUUAAAUAAUAUAUAUAAUAUAUUUUUUUAUUCUAUUUAUCAUUCUGCUGGUCAACUUAAAAUUUUCUAUUGGUUUAUAUAUAUAUAUAUAUAUAGAGAAAGAGAGAGAGAGAGAGAGAGUGCGGUUAUGGUGCUUGUAAAAGAAUCAAACAUUUGGUGUGCUUGUAACUUUUCCACCGUUAGAUUUACCCCUUUAAUCAUUUCCACCCGUUCGAUUAUACUAUUCAACCAACCACCCUCUCAACCCUAGAGCACCACUGUCAUCUUAACUGCACACCUCUUAAUCCAAGGGCUACAAAGCUACAAGCACCAAUGACUUUGUAUAGUAUAGAAGCUUAAAUAUAUAUAUAUAGAGAGAGUCCGGCUACUAUCUAUUAAUAGGAUUAGGACCAUUAUCCUAUCAAGUUGUUUUGAAUGGUCGACACUCCAAAUUGAUAAUCAGCACCGUUGAAAUUGAUCUACACUAUAAGAAAUAUUUAAAAACCGAAUUUUGUAAUUUUUGAAAAUCAUUAUCAAAUCUAUCGAAGAGUCGAAAAAAUGAACGGACAUAAACGAAUAACCUUCUUAAAAUAGAGGUUAGACUUUCUCAAAUCAUGAUCAGAGUUAUCAAAUAUUAUCUAAAUAGUAUAAAAAUUUUCUAUAAAAAAUUCAAACAGUUUGGAUUGCUCUACACCGUUAAUAAGUAAACGGCUCAUAUAAGCCCUAAAAAAUUGUCGAUUUUACGAUCCUUUGAUCACUAUGUAAAUAAUUUUUAAAAUUUCUGAAAUUUAGUUUUUAGAUACUUCAAAUACUCUAGAUCAACUUUAAUGGUUCCGAUCAUCGAUUCGACAUCUCUAUCAUCAAGAACGACUUGAUAGGACGAUGGUCUCUAUCCUAUUAAUAGGAUAGUAGCUGGAUUUUAUAUAUAUAUAUAUAUAUAUNCGAUAUCGAUAUAUAUAUAUAUAUAUAUAUAUAUAUAUAUAUAUAUAUAUAUAUAUAUAUAUAUAUAUAUAUAUAUAUAUAUAUAUAUAUUAUUGUCUGCGACCACGAAUGACGCACCUCGCACGGUUAAUCUUCUUUUAAUUUUUCGUGGGGUAGUAUUUAUGAUUCAGAUUAAUAUUUAAGUAUAUAUGGUUAUCAAGUAUUGUGGAUUCAUGGCUUCCAAUAAAUGCAAGCAUUUACUGUUAAUUACCUCUAUAAAAUAUUGAGGUACCUUCGAUUAAGAGACCUCUGAAAUGCUGAAAUAGACUGAAAUUGAAUAAAAGGUGGAUUUUAUAACACAAUCCGUUGUAUAGUUACAUGGCUUAACCAGGGGCAUACCCUUAGUGUACAUGAAUGUAACAUAAAAGAGAAAAUGAUUAGUUCAACGACAUGACGGUCGAUUGAACUGGGUUGCUCAAUUUAACGACAUGGCGGUCGAUUAGAUUUUGACUUGCUCAGUUUAACGACAUGGCGGUCGAUUGGAUUUGAUGACAUGGCGGUCGAUUGAAAUGAUUUGCUCAAUUUAACGACAUGGCGGUCGAUUGCAAUUGGAUUGCUCAGUUUAACGACAUGGCGGUCGAUUAGAAUUGGUUUGCUCGGUUUAAUGACAUGGCGGUCGAUAAAAAUUGGAUUGCUUAGUUUAACGACACGGCGGUCGAUUGGAAUUUGAGUUGCUCAGUUUAACGACAUGGCGGUCAAUUGGGAUUUGAUUUGCUCAGUUUAACGACAUAGCGGUCGAUUGGGAUUUGAUUUGCUCAGUUUAACGACAUGGCGGUCGAUUGAAUUUGAUUUGCUUAGUUUAACGACAUGGCGGUCAAUUGGGAUUUGAUUUGAUUUGCUCAAUUUAACAACAUGGCGGUCGAUUGGGUUUGAUUUGCUCAGUUUAACGACAUGGCGGUCGAUUAGAUUGGAAUUGGAUUGCUCAGUUUAACGACAUGGUGGUCGAUUGGAUUUGAUUUGCUCAGUUUAACGACAUAGCGGUCGAUUGGGUUGAGUUGCUCAGUUUAACGACGUGGCGGUCGAUUAGAAUUGGAUUACUCAAUUUAACGACAUGCCGGUCGAUUAGAUUUCAGUUGCUCAGUUUAACGACAUGGUGGUCGAUUGGGUUGAGUUGCUCAGUUUAACGACAUGGCGGUCGAUUAGAAUUGGAUUACUCAGUUUAACGACAUGGCGGUCGAUUAGAUUUAAGUUGCUCAGUUUAACGACAUGGCGGUCGAUUGGGUUGAGUUGCUCAGUUUAACGACAUGGCGGUCGAUUGGGUUUGGAUUUGCUCGACUUGGACUUACCUUCAGCUUAAAUUCUGAGUUUGGAGGACAUCAUGUAGGUGAAGGGCAAGUACACGAAAUGAACUUGACUUGGCAUACAUGAAUUUGAAGGUUUAAAUUCAAAAGUUUAAGUUUCAAGUUAAAAUUUUAGAUUUAAAUUUAAAAUUUAAGCUUGAGUUAGUUUUAUUUUGAAAUUGAAUUCUAAUUAAAGUUCUGAGUCUGAGGUUGAAUUUAAUUUUAAUUUUAAUUUUACCUUGAACUUACAUGGGAUUAAGUUUGGUUUGCAUUAAAAGUCUAUUUAAAUCUGCAUCUUUAAAUUUGAGUUUAAAUUUAAAUUUUGGUUUGAUUUUAGUUUUAGAAAGAGAUUUGAAUUUGAAUAUUUAUUAUAAAAUUAUUUAUGCUUUAGUCAGAUUUUAAAUUUGAUUAAAUUUUGAUUUGAAUUUUGAUAGUGGUUUAGUUUUAAAUUUGAAUUUGGAUUGCAAGAGUUUAGGAUAAGAUUUGAACAUUGAUUACAAAUUUGAAUUCUGAAUUUUGGCUUUUCAUUUAGCUUUGCGUCUAGAUUUAGAUUUCAGAUUUAAGUUAGAUUGAAUUUAAUUUGAUUUUAUGAUUUUGGUUUAAUUUUGGAUUGGAAGUUAGUUUAAAUUGAAUUUAAUUGUCAUUUGAAUUUUAAUUUAGUUUUAGUUAGUUUAACUUUGGUUCAAGUUUUAAUUUGAUUUACUUUAAGUUUUAAUCAAAUUUUAAUCUUAAAAAGUCAUUCAGAUUUUAGAUAAGAAAUCAAAUUCAAAAUGGUCCAUGCCAAGUCCAUCGUGUAUUUGUUUAUUGUCACGAGUCCGAAGUCAAGUGCAUCAUAUGCAAGUCAUAAUUGAACCAAAGUUCUAAUUUGACUCAGUUUAGUAAACUGAAGCAUGCAGCAUGUAGCAUGCAGCUUUUGGAUCUUAUUAGAUGCCGAUUGGGUCCUAAUUUGACCCAAAAUUGCACUCCUCCUUGGUGCACCCAUAGAUGAUUAUCAAAUCUUCUUCUUCGCCGGCGGCUAAGCGCCAAGCGGAUAAUGUAUCAAAUAUUCUUUUUCGCCGGCAGCUAAGCGCCAAGCGGAUAAUGUAUCAAAUCUUCUUUUCCGCCGGCGGCUAAGCGCCAAGCAGAUCAUGUAUCGAAUCUUCUUUUCCGCCGGCGGCUAAGCGCCAAGCGGAUAAUCAUGGAGUCUUCUCAAACAACGUGGUUGUCGAUGUAGUGGCGAGUGGCCGCCAUUGUCCUCUGUCGACGACAAGGCACCGACAGAUAAUCACCAAUCUUUUCUUCCGCCGACGGCAAAGCGCCAAGCAGAAAAUCGACGGGUUCGGUGCUCCUCCAUGUUUGUCGAUGGUGCACCCGCAGAUGGUCGGGCAAAGAUUUGCCUUGGGCAUUUCAGCGAACAGGUGAUAGAUCGGAUGCAUAGUGUUAGAGGUUGCAGCUUUGGUGACUCCUCAACUAGAGGUCACUUCUACAUCAGGUUGGGACCCGUGAUGACAACUGAAUUGGAGGUCGCGACUGUGUUCGAUGUAGAGAUCGUGGCCGCACCAAAGUUAUACCAAAGUUAUGGCCCACGGUUGUAUCGGGCUUGAAGGCCAUGGGCACGCCACAGUUGAACUCCGCGGCAAUGUUCGGGUUGAAUUUCAUGGCAGCAUUAGAGUAGGCGGCCUCAAUCACGUCGCUGCUGGAGCUCGCAGGCGGCCUCAAUCACGUUGCCGCUGGAGCUCGCCAUAGAUGUGUGGGGUAGUUUGGGGCGGCGCGCGGAUUGAAGGCGUUGAUGUUGGUUUGCAACGGCACGCGAGUUGGACGCGUCGAAGUCGAACCGCAGCGGCAUGCGAGUUAGAGGUGUCGUCGUUGGUGAAGGCCGCAACAGCAUGUAAGUCGAGGCAUGGCGACGUCGGAGUUAGAGGUAUUGCAGCAACGUCGGGGUGGGAAGCCGCAGGCUGUGCGGCUCUAGCUCUGGUACUGGAGGGAUUAUCCCAUAUGUAAUUAUGGAGGACUAUUGUAACCUUGUGUAAUUAAUCAAGUAGUUGGGUAGAUGUGUUGGGGCCUCCUCUUCUUAAUGACAAAAUGGAAUAUUAUAUUUAUAGAUGCACCCUUGAGAAAGGGACGACCAUGUUCUUUGGGAGUUGUGGUAGAGCAUAGUGGAAUGGGUAGUUAAUAGAUAGUGGAGUAAUGGGGAGUUUGGGAAGUCUGUUUUAGACUCAGACGGUUCAUGAAAUAAAGAGUACUUAAGUAGUGAGAAGUUGUGAAGAUCUUUUUUAUCUCUCUCUUUUGGCAAGCCCAGCACCAAUUGAAUAUGGGUCAAAAUCUGCCGUAAUAAAUGAUGUUUCCCACUAAUAAUUUAUACAUGAACCUAAAUAUUGGCCCAAUAAAAUAUAUCUUGCAUAUAUCUUGUUCGUUUGUCGUCUUUAUGGGCUAGCUCAAAAUUUGGCCCAAUAAGUAGUUUUUAUCUCUAAUAUUCUAUAAGGGGCCCAAAAUUAGGUAUAAUAAAAUGUCCCCCAUUUUUCUAUUUUCUAUUUUUCAUCUUUCGAAAGGCUGAUUCAAAAAGUGGUCUCAAAAUAUAUAUAUUAGUAUAUAUUAUAUAUGAUAUUAUAUAUAUAUAUAUAUAUUAUAUAAGGCUAGCGGGCUUACUAUCAAUUAAUAGGAUUGGAGCACUUGUCCUAAUCAAAUUAGUUCGUAGGAUGAUAGAGAUUCCGGAAUCCGAUGCAUUCGAGACCGUGAAGUGUGAUCUAGAGAUAUUGAAAUAUCAUAGAAACUAAAUUUCAUAAAUUUUAAAAAUUAUUUACUGCAGUGGAUCAAAAUGUCGUAAAAUGACCAUUUUUUUGACGGCCUAUAUGAGCCGUUUGCUGUGUUACGGUGUAGAACAACUCCAAAUUGCUGUAUGAAAUUUUGGGUAGAGAAAUCUUUAUACUAUGUUAGAUAAUGUUGAUAAACUCUGAUUAUAUAGUAUAUAUGGGACUGAUUAUAGCUUAUUGAAGCACGGAGCCUUCGUGCUUAUCCAAUUGGGUUUUCGAAUUUGAUCGGACUUCCGCUGCUUCCUAAGUUGUUUUCGAUGUUCGUGACUUUCGAAUCCGAGAUUUGGCAUCCCAUUAGAAUGAUCUAGAAGUAAUUUUGAAAGUACUAGAAAAUAAAUUUUGUGAUUUUUUCGAUAUCAUUUGUCUAGUGAUCGAAGCAGGCUACAAAUCAAUAAUUUUAAUAGAUGCGUGCGCCGUAGCAGCUGAGCCGGUUUGCAAGUUUAAACGUGUAAAAAAUAUUCAAAUCAACAUAAAUUUUGAUAGAAACAUGUCUUCCUAUAGCCAAUAUUAAAAAAGAUUAAUAACUUUGAUCUAAAAUUUUAUAAUGUCAUAGUCAAUCAAUAUUUUGUAAGAUUUUUUUUUUUUCAUUCAGCCGUUUGAUUUUGAGUCCUUCGAUCAUUAGGCUACAAUGAUUCAUGAAAAGAAUCGCAAAAUUUAAUUUUCUAAGAUACUUCAGAAUACUAUACGAUCAAGUCUAAUCGCGGAGGCCGAAUCUGUACGGAAUUCGAAAGUCGAAAUAUCGAAAACAAAGGGGACAGGGACCCCUUCCGUGGUUGCAUAUAAGCAUCCUAGCCGCACUCUUAUAAUAUAUAUGAGUCCGCUAGUAUGCGAUUAAUAGCAGGCCAACGUAAGCACUUGAGUGUCCAAAGUUUCCGCCGUUAAUCUUACUUUUUGAUCAUUUCCUCGCUGUUAGAUCAUACUAUCAUCAACAACCACCCAUCAACUAGGGGCCAUGCACAUCAUCCUAACGCACAUCUGCUUAAUCUAAUAGGCCAAAAACUUGAAUAGCCACCAAAUGACUUUGUUGCUCUAUUAAUAGGCAUAGUAGCCUAGUUAUAUAUAUCAUAUAUAUAUAUAUAUAUAUAUAUAUAUAGUAUAUAAUAUAUAUAUAUAUAUAUAUAUUAAAAAGCGUGUGUUUGGUCUCGAAGUCAAAAUCGUAAAUCAGUAAUCGGAAAUUCGAAUAAGCGUGGAAUCGGUAUCGGAAUGACUCCAUUACCGUAAUUCUGUUGACGUUUGUUACCCUAAAUUAGGAAUAAAAUAAAUCUUCUCAUGUCGGUCUGUUCUGGUAUCAGGUAGAUAUAAAAAACGUAAUCAAAUUAAUAUACUAACUUUAUCUUUAUAAUAUAUUAAUUUAAAUUUAAAUUGAAAAUUAAAUAUUAAAAAUUUACAUCAAAAUUUUGAAAUAAUGUCAAAAUUUUAAAUCUAUUUUUUAUAAAAAAAAUUAAACUUUGAAGUUGAGUGGAUAAUUCAAAAUAUAAAACUAAAUUUUGAUUUAUUCAAAUUCAAACUUAAAAUUAUAAUUUAAAUUUAAAUUGGAAUCCAUAAAUUUAAUUUACGUUUUAAAUAAAAUUUGAAUAAAACUUGAUAUAAAUUAAAAUUUAAUUUAAAUUCAAAUUUAUAAGUAAGAUUCAAAAAACUUGAUUAAAUUUUAAUUUUUAAUUCAAAUUUAAACUCAAAUUUAAAAUUAUAAAUUUAAUUUUUAAAUUUAAACUCAUAUUUUAAUUAAAAAGUAGAAAAAUAAAUUUAAUCCGAAUAAAUAUCCAUUCCGUCCGGAUUCAACUUCCAAUUCGGCCUCCUAGGCCGAAUUGAAAAAAGAGGUGAUUGGAGGAUUCUCAUUCCACUCGGAAAUCGGAAUCAGAAUGGGACUCCCACAUACCAAACGCCCACAAAUGGAUUCUAAUUCCGAUUCCAGGGUGAAAAAGAAGCGAACCAAACAUUCCCAUAGAGUUAGGCUGGUAUACUAUCGGUAGCGCGGAAGUCUCCGUGCUACCAAGUUGUUUUCAAUGAUGCGGCUUCCAAAUCGACGAUCGGCUCUGUUAGACUUGAUCUAUACUAUUGAAAGUAUUUGAAAACUAAAUUUCAUAAUUUUUUGACAUCAUUUAGCUAGUAAACAAGUAGUCUAAACAUAAACGACUGAAAAUAAAAAUCACAUAAAAAUGAUGAUAAAAGACUUAAAUUUAAGAUUAGAGGUACUAAUUUUACUCUAAAUAGUGAAAAGAAUUUUCUAUAAAAAUUUUAUCAGAUUUGGAUUGUUUUACGCCGUUAAAUUUACAAACGCAUCACAUCUACCAUUAAAAUUGUCAAUUUUGAGACUUUUUAAUCACUAGCAAAUGAUGUAAAAAAAUUAUGAAAUUUAGAUUCCAAAUACUUUUAAUAGUGUAAAUUAAGUUUAAUGAAACCGAUCGUCGAUUUGGAAGCCACAUCAUUAAAGACAACUUGUUAGCACGGAGNCACCAAGCAGAUGAUUAUCAAAUCUUUUUCUCUACCGGCCGGGAAGCGCCAAGCAGAUGAUUAUCAAAUCUUCUUCUCCACCGGCGGCUAAUCACCAAGCAGAUGAUUAUCAAAUCUUUUUCUCUACCGGCCGCGAAGCGCCAAGCAGAUGAUUAUCAAAUCUUCUUCUCCACCGGCGGCUAAUCGCCAAGCAAAUGAUUAUCACGAAGUCUUCUUUUCCGCCGACGGCUAAGCGCCAAGCAGAUCACGUAUCGAAUCUUCUUUUGCGCCGGCGGCUAAGCGCCAAGCAGAUCAUCAAGGAGUCUUCUCAAACAACGUGGUUGUCGAUGUGGUGGCGAGUGGCCACCAUUGUCCUCUGUCGACGAUAAGGCACAGACAGAUAAUCACCAAUCUUUUCUUCCGCCGACGGCAAAGCGCCAAGCAGAAGAUCGACGGGUUCGGUGCUCCUCCAUGUUUGUCGAUGGUGCACCUGCAGAUAGUCGGGCAAAGAUUUGUCUUGGGCAUUUCAGCGAACAGGUGAUAGAUCGGAUGCAUAGUGUUAGAGGUUGCAGCUUUGGUGACUACUCAACUAGAGAUCACUUCUACAUCAGGUUAGGACCCGUGAUGACAACUGAAUUGGUGGUCGCGACUGUGUUCGAUGUAGAGGUCUUGGCCGCACCAAAGUUAUAGCCCACGGUUGUGUCGGGCUUGAAGGCUCGGGCUUGAAGGCCAUGGACACGCCACAGUUGAACUCCGCAGCAACGUUCAGGUUGAAUUUCAUGGCAGCAUUAGAGUAGGCGGCCUCAAUCACGUCGCCGCUGGAGCUCGCCAUAGAUGUGUGGGGUAGUUUGGAGCGGCGCGCGGGUUGAAGGCGUUGAUGUUGGUUUGCAACGGCACGCGAGUUGGACGCGUCGAAGUCGAACCGCAGCGGCACGCGAGUUAGAGCGUCGUCGUUGGGCCGUGGCAAUGUGAAAGUCACGGAUUGCCACAAUAUUGGAGCUUGGGGUGAUGGCGACGUCGAGGUGACGACGACGAAGGAAAACUUCUUUUCCUCUCCUCUGUUAACAUACGUGAGAGGAAAAGAGGAAGUUGGGGUUACAUGGUAAAAUAGGUUGAUGAUUAUUAUUAUUUUUUUUGGAUCCCCGUCUCUAUACAUCCACUCCUCUUUUUAUAGACUCUGCUCAAUGCUAGACGAGCCCGUUAUUGUUGGGUGAGUAGUGGAGUAGGUGGUGGAAUAAUGGGUACUGGUUAAUGAAUAGUGGAGUAAUGGGAUAGUUAAUAGAUAGUGGAGUAAUGAGAUAGUUAAUAGAUAGUGGAGUAAUGAGGAGUUUGGGGAGUUUGUUUUAGACUUGAACGGGUUCAUCAAAUGAGAUAAUACUUAGUGGGAAGUUGUUAGGAUUUCUUUUUAAUCUCUCUCUUUUGGCAAGCCCAACACCAAUUGAAUAUGGCCCAAAAUCUGCCGUAAUGAAUGGUGUUUCCCACUAAUAAUUUAUACAUGAACCUAAAUAUUAACCCAAUAAAAUAUAUCUUGCAUAUAUCUUGUUCGUAUGUCGCCUUUAUGGGCUAGCUCAAAAUUUAGCCCAAUAAGUAGUUUUCAUCUCUAAUAUUCUAUAAGGGGCCCAAAAUUAGGUAUAAUAAAAUGUCCCUCUUUUUUAUUUUCUAUUUUUCAUCUUUUGAAAGACUAAUUCAAAAGCGGUUCAACAAGUUGAAAUGGUGCGAUGUUGGGGGCAACAAUCCUCCACAUCUGCUGCGGCUGAACACGAUGUUGCUUGGGUUGCUAUUAAGCGGAUGGUUGAAGAAUAUGAUUUGCAAGUUAAAGAUGUAAAUUACGAUGAUAGUAUCUUUUAUAAAAAUCUAUACAAUCAUCUGACCACAAAGUUUGCUAUGCUAUUUGCACACUACACCAACUUGCUUCAAGAGUAUAACUUUGUGAAGGAUUGCUAUGUCACUACUCUUGCACAGAUAAAUGAGUUUGUGACUGAGCGGGUCCAGAUACGCCAUGCCAUUGAAGAAUGCUAUGCUGUAAUUAACCGCCUGGUUCCUCUUCCACCUAUUGCAAAAACAGAUUCAUCAGAUGGUACUUCGGCUCUCUUGGGUUAAGUGUCGAAGGACGAGGGGGGAAGCUGUUCCAACAAUAUAUAGUAGAUGCUUUCUCCUGCGUUGAAGAAGAACGACUUUGUUAUAUUAGAAACAACCAAACAAAUUUAUGCUCUGAAAUAUACAAAGGCAUUAAAGAUGCUGUUGUGGGAGGUGAUGUCGAUGGAAAUGCUAUUAGGAAAAGAGUUGUAUUACCCUCAAGUUUUACUACGGGCCUACGCUAUAUGAUCCAAAAUUAUCAAGAUGUUAUUGCCAUAUGUAGGAAUUGUGGUCCUCCAGAUUUAUUUAUCACUUUUAUGUGCAAUGCACAGUGGCAGGAAAUACGCGAUGCCUUACAAUUUGUUCCAAGUCAAAGAGCAGAGGAUAGGCCUGAUAUUGUUAGUAGAGUUUUCAAGAUGAAAUUAGAAGCGUUAAUGGCCGAUAUAAAGAAGUGUCAUUUUUUUGGCAAAUCAAUUGGUGGUACGUGCUGAUACCAUUUAUUAGCUUUCAAUUUUUUCUAUAAAAUUCAUAAAUAACACUAAAGAUGAAUUAUCCUCAACUAUUUUUACGUUCAUCAACUUAUUGCAGAAUUAUAUACCGUGGAAUUUAAAAAAAGGGGGCUUCCACAUGUACACAUCUUAGUGUGGUUGGACGCUGAACAUAAGUAUUUAACAAAUAUUGCAAUAGAUUCGAUUAUUUCAGCCGAGAUACCCCAAAAGGAUGUUGAUCCAAAUGGUUAUGCAGUUGUCACAAAAUUUAUGAUGCACGGUCCAUCUGGGUUGGCAAGACCAGAAGCACCCUAUAUGGUAAAAGGACGCUGCUCAAAAUGAUUUCCAAAAGAAUAUAACAGUGAAACAAUAAUAAGUGAUAAUGGUUUUGCUAUAUAUAGGAGAAGAAAUACUGAGCAAACAGUUACUAAGAAUGGUUUUGAACUUGAUAAUAGAUUUGUUGUGCCCCAUAAUUUGCCACUGCUUAUUAAAUAUCAGGCACAUAUUAAUGUUGAGUGGUGUAACAAGUCCAGGCUUAUAAAGUAUUUAUUUAAAUAUAUUAACAAGGGUCUAGAUCGAAGCAGUUUCAUUACAGAAAAUAAUAUCAACCAUGCAAGCUCUAGCUCUGAACAACGAUAUAAACAGGUUGAUGAGAUUAAACAAUACCUAGAUUGCCGAUAUUUAUCAGCGUAUGAGGCUGUUUGGAGAUUAUUUGAUUUUGAUAUUCACUUUAGGCAACCAUCAGUUGAGAGAUUAACUGUUCAUCUAUCGAUGAUGAAUAAUAUUAUCUAUCGUGAUGGCCAAAACUUGGUAGAUGUGCUUAAUCGUCCUAAUAUUGAUAAAACAAUGUUCACAGCAUGGAUGGAAACCAAUUUAGGCUGUGAGGAUGCUCGCCAACUUAUGCAGAAUUUCCUACUAAAUGGGUAUGGCAUUCAAGAGAUAAAUUUUGGUCACAACAAAAACCAUGUAAUCGCAUAGGGAGGAUAGUAUAUGUCCAUCCAAGUACAGGAGAGCUUUACUUUUUAAGAAAUGUUUUAAAUGUUGUGAAAGGCCCGAGAAAUUAUGAGAUUAGAACUGUAGAUGGCAUUAUUCAUGAAAUGUUUCGAUCUGCAUGUGAUGCUCUUGGGUUACUUGGUGAUGAUAGGGAAUGGAAAGAAGCAUUAAGAGAGGUAUCAUUUUGGUCUUCUGCAGGUCAACUUAGGCAACUAUUUGUGACCUUAUUGAUAUUUUGUGAAGUAUCAAAUCUGGUUAAAUUAUGGGAUGAAUAUUGGAAAUUGUUGGCUAACGAUAUUCUUUAUAGAUUGAAAAUUGUUCUUGGGGUUCAAAAUCUUAGAAUGCCUGAAAUUGAAUUGCAGAAUAAUGUUCUAUUUGAACUUGAAAUUUUGCUCAAUAAUAAUUCAAGUUCACUUGCGCAUUUCAAGCUUCCUAUUCCUAAUAAGUUGAUUGUUGAUCAGUUGAAUAACAAGCUUCUUGGAGAAGAAAUAAAUUAUAAUGUAGAUGAAUUAGCCCAGGAGUCUGCACAGUUGUUUGAUGGAUUGAACAAUGAGCAAAGAAAUAUACAUAAUGCUGUCUUAAUUUCUAUCUACGAAAAUCUUGGGGAUGUAAUAUUUGUUCAUGGACAUGGUGGAAUAGGUAAAACUUACCUCUGGAAGACUAUAAUUUCAAAAUUACGCUCAGAAGGUAGAGUUGUGUUGGUUGUUGCUUCUUCGGGAAUAGCAUCGCUAUUAUUACCAGGCGGCCGAACAGCCCACUCAAGAUUUAAAAUCCCUAUUAAAAUUGAUGACUGCUCAAUUUGUGAAAUUAAGAAAGGUACAUAGCUUGCAAAGUUGAUUUCACAUGCUAGCUUAAUUAUUUGGGAUGAAGCACCUAUGAAUUACAAAAAUUGUUUCGAAGCCUUAGAUAAAUCAUUAAAAGAUGUUUUGGAAUCAGAUGGUCCAACUGCUUCCCAGAAACUUUUUGGUAGAAAAAUUGUUCUUCUAGGAAGGGAUUUCAGACAAAUACUUCCAGUCGUCGUAGGUGGUACACGACAUGAUAUUCUUAAUGCAUCACUUACUAGAUCUUAUAUAUGGAGCAAGUGUAAAGCGUUCCAUCUCACUAGAAAUAUGAGGUUGUUACAACGUUCUUUAAAUGAUUCGUUGAAUUCAUCUUUAACAGAGUUUGCUAGAUGGAUGCUUGAUGUUGGUGAUGGAAAAAUACCUACUAUUAAAUUAGAUGGGGAAGAAGAAGGCACCUGGAUCAAAAUUUCUGACGAUAUGCUUAUUAAAGAUGUUAAUAAUGGAAUUGAGAGUAUUGUUGCAGAAAUAUACGAUAAUCUUGAAGAAAAUUACAACAAUCCUAACUACUUAAAAGAUAGAGCCAUUGUUACACCCAUAAAUGGAAUAGUUGAUGAGAUUAAUUCAUAUGUACUGACUUUGGUGUUAUCAGAAGAGCGGCGGUAUUUGAGCUCGGAUUCGAUAUGUAAUUCAUCAAAGAAUGCUGAAGAUAAUGAUAUACUCUAUCCUGUAGAUUUUUUUAAUUCAUUGAAAUUCAAUGGAGUCUCCAAUCAUGAACUAACAUUGAAAGUGGGAGCUCCUAUAAUGUUGCAUCGCAAUAUUAACCAAAGUUUCAGUCUCUGCAAUGGCACACGGUUAGUGAUAACUCAGCUGUUUCCUAGAAUUAUUGAAGCAGAAAUUUUUACAGGCAACCAUAUUGGCGAGAAGGUUUACAUCCCCCACAUAGUAAUGAAUGUAACAGAUUCAAAGUGGCCAUUCAUAUUGAAAAGAAGACAAUUUCCAGUACGUUUGAGCUACGCAAUGACAAUUAAUAAAAGCCAAUUGCAAACAUUACAAAAAGUUGGCCUUUAUUUACCGCAGCCUGUAUUUUCUCAUCGGCAACUUUACGUGGCAAUUUCUCGAGUUAUUUCAAAGGAAGGAUUGCGAAUUCUCAUUAAAAAUAAGGAAGGAGAACCUGAAGGGUAUACAAGAAAUAUUGUUCAUAAUGAAAUAUUUCAGGAUUUGUAAUUCUUAGUUGUUUAUGCUGUAGUAAGUAUCGUUUUUUACUAAAUACCUUAAUCGUGUUGUAUGCAACAUUGUUUUUACCCGAUGUUGUAUGCUAUAUUGUUCCUUUUAUUUCUUUACUUUCUCUUAUUUUUUUUGUUAAUUUUCACGCAGGAUAACAAAAUUGUAAUGGAAUACACACUUUUAUCAGAAUUAUCUUUGCAAUGCCAAAAUUACAAAAUCAAAGUGCGGAAUGUCGAAUUUGGGAAUCAUCUGCUCCUUUUUUGAAAGGAGAUAUAUUUGGUUUAGAUUGUCUACUCAGAUGAAAAGGUGAAUAUGCUCACAUUUUUAGUAAACUUUUCUUUUCUUUCUUCUUUAUGCUCACUAUACUUUUUCAAAUAAGAAUUUUAUAAUGGGAUAAUAAUUAGGGCUACUCCUUGCAAGCAACGAUUCGUAAACAAGAUGCAGAGGAAGUAAGAAGUCAACUUACAGAGGGCAAUAUAUAUCAAAUAGAGAAAUUAAAUGUUAUUCCGAGCAAGAAAAAGUUUGUCGUUGUUGAUCGCCUUUAUAUGAUUCAAACCAAUAAAUGGACCAAGCUAACCCAAAUUAACGAAGAUAUAAGCACACUUCCCUUAUACAGCUUUAAUUUCUUAAGUUUCUCUCAAGCAGAAAACCACAGAUACAAUGAUACUGCUCUCACUGGUAAUAUUUAUUUAUGACACUAUAAAAACAUUUUCAGUUUGUCAUGAAAAUUUCAUAUUUUAGCGCCCUAGUUACAUUAACAUUUCUCAAUUUUUUUAGAUGUUCUCGGACAAAUAUCAGCUAUCAGUGAAAUUACACAUAAAUAUGUUGGCCAAACACUUACCCCGAUUAGAAAUUUAGAAAUACAAGAUUUGGAGUAAGUUAAAUACCUUAUUUCAUGUUCUUUUCUUGAAUUUUAGAUUUGAUAAUUAUAUACAUAUUCUUUAAACAUGAUGAAUGUUUUGUCUGUUACAUUAUGGGAUCAAUUUGCUUUGGAUUUUGAUGAUGACGAUAUUUCAGAGAAAGAGAGAAAUAGGCCAAUUAUAAUAGUCCUUGCUAGAAUGAUGUUCGCUCUUUUAGAGGUUUGCAUCUAUCGUGCUAUAAAAUAAAAUUAUGUUUUUCUCUCACAUAAUUUUCCUAGCUAUUAAUUAUUGUAUUCUUUUAUGCCAAUGUAGAAAGGAUACAUCUAUCGGCAUGUUCAGCCUCAAAAAUUUACAUUGACUUGAAAAUUCGAGAAGUGUCUGAAUUUCUAAAUAGGUUUGACAAUCUAAAUAUCUAAUAUAAAUAUAUAUAUGCAUGUUUAAUAUGUUAAAUAUUGAUUUACAAUAAUAUGCCUUAAUUAUUAUAUUAAUUAAUUAUGUGUAGGUUACAGACAGUGGCUAAUUCAAUUCAACGAAUUACCACCACCGGUAAGGACGAACUUAUUAGUCCUCAAGAAGAAAUGUGUAUGAAUAGAAAAAAAUUACUGAAUUGUUACAGAUCCAUCAAUCCGAUAUAUAGGUAAAUUUAUUUCUAAAAAUAUUAAUUUCUACUACUGUAUACAUUUAUGCCCUUUUUUAUAUAAUUUUUUAUCUUUUUUUUAUUAAUAAAACAUGAAGUUUAUCUGUAAAGCUAAAAUUGCUGAAAUCGAUACAUCAUUUGGCUAGUGGUACAAAGCUUGCUAUAAUUGUAAAACAACAAUCAAAACAUAUGAUGAUACUUUUUGGUGCUCCAAUUGUGGUAAAAAUGAUCAAACUCCUAUACCAUGGUACUUAUCUUUCUUAAUAAUAUAUCUUUAAUUUUUUUAAAAAAUAUUGAGUAAUAUUGUUUCACUUAAAAUUAAUAUGAUUUAAUGUAUUUGCUGAAAAUAGGUACAGAUUAAAUACUAGUGUUGAAGAUAAAACUGGUUCGUGUAAUUUUACUAUCUUCGGAAAGUUUGCACAGGAUUUGGUUUGUUCUCCGGCUCAGAAUCUAGCCACUUUACCCGGUUCAGAUAAAUUUACUCUUCCACCUGUAGUAAAAAUAAUUAUUGGUGAAAAACACAUCUUUCAAGUGGUACCCGACACACCAAAAUUUAAGUCAAGUCUUCCUUCUUUUAAGGUGUUAAAAAUUUUUCUCAAAAUUUGGACACUAGGGGUAAGUCCUCUACGAAAAAAAAAUUUUAUUUGUUGAAUGUGAAGAGCACCUUGAUUCACCUGCUACCAACAAACAAAUCCGCGAAGAUUUAUUUGAAGAGCCAUCACCAGGAGCCGGCGUUUCAUCAAAGUAAUAAAACUAUACUUCUAUAUAUUUUAUAGUUAUUGUUAGUGUAAUUUGUAUAAAUUCUUCUAAUUUUUAUAAAAUUUUGUUAAAGCAGUCCUAUACAACCUUCUGCAGACUUUGAUGAAAUCCAACCUGCAAAAAGACGGCGCCUUAUGUAAUGUCUAAUGUUAACUUAUUUUCAUAUAUUUUCAUAUAUAUAAUGACAUUCUUUAUAUAUAAGAUUUUUUUAAAAAAAAUACCUCUAAUUGAUUUGCAGGAUAGAGGAAGAUUCGUCAAAUGAAGAUUGAUGAUUUGCUAACUGCUUACAUUUACUAUUUGUUGGUUUGCUUACAUUUACUAUUUGUUGGUUUGUUUGAAGCUCUAUGCUUCAAACAAUCAUUGUGGUUUAAAACUAUGAAAACUUAUUUCAGAUUUGUAUUUUGGUUUAAAACUAUGUGGCUCUCUUUAUUUCGAAUUUGUAUUUUGGUUUAGAACUAUGUGUUGGUUUGUUUAAAGAUGCAUUUUAGAUUUCAUAUAUUCUGCUAUGUAUUUGAUUGUGUUUGAAUAUUAUUUUGAUCAUUGUGGUUUAAAACUAUGUGCUGGUUUAAGAUGCACCUAUUUAUAUUUAUGAUGAUCUACUUAUAUUUAUAAUGAUAUUAUUACUCCAUUUUCAGAUGAUUACUGUUCAAUUUAUGGACCUAUUGUCAUUCCUUCUUACUUUCAUAUGUUCUCCGAACAGAGUAACAUUAGACAAAAUAAGUAAUUACUUAUUUUGAUCAUAUGUAAUUACAUAUGAUCAUAUACUUUCUAGUUUUGAUCUAAGCUAAAUAUAUGUUUGCAUAUUAUAUAAUUACAUAUUUUAUUAUCAUUUCAAAAUAUAUAUUAAAAUAAUUAGUAUUAUUCAAGCUAAAAAUUAUAUAUUUUAUUGUCAUUCCAUAUUUCUUUUUUUGUCUCUUCUUCUCCUCCUUUUUCUCCUCCUUUUUCUUAAUUACAUAUGAUCAAAACUAUUUUAAAAUUUACAUCAAAAUAUUAGCGUUAAAAUUGCCCGCAGCGAAACGCGGGUUCAACACUAGUCUCAAGAUAAUGAGCAGGUUUAUCAUUUUUUUUUAUCUUGUUUUAUCGAACUGCUGUUGCAAAAUUCAUAAUGUCUGUAUCAAUUUUCAUACAUCCAGUAAUGCAAGAUUGAAUUACUCGACUCGGUACUUUUAAGGGUAAUGCAAGAUUGAAUUACUCAACUCAGUACUUUUAGGGUAAAAUGCAGGAGAUUUCUCAACCAUUUGGUGCAGUCAUGGCAUCUGGCUUGAUACCAUAAUCGACAGUAAAACUGAUGAACAAACAAACACCCAACACUAAUUCAACAAUGCAUCCCAGGUUACUGCUCACUGCUCACUACUACAAACAUAUAUAAAAUCCAAGUACACUAUAAAGUACUGAUGAUAAUAAACCUGUGUAACUCAGCUACAUAACAUUUGUAUGACGAAGCUUGUUUCUACGAAGAUAAUCGCACACAUACACAUGGUAAGUCCCGCUGAAUAACAUAAAUGAUACAAAAAUUUACAACAGCCUCAAAAUCAACCACAAUAAAAUGUGUUUUUCCUAUAGGGAGCAACUACUAGAGCUAACUUACUAGAGCUGGGAACUCGAACUCGCCGAACGUUUGGAAGAUCUGGAUCUUGAACAGGAUCUGCAAAGAAAUUGGAGAAACAACAGCCAAAUCAUUAUCGGUUAUCUGGUUCACCCUAGUCAUGUUCCUAAAAAAUUGAUUUAGGCCUAGUUUGGAAUUGUGAUGUCUAAAAGCAUUUGUUUUCAUGUUUUCGGAGACCCAAAAAAAAAAAAAAACCAAAUACAUCUCUAAUUUUUCCUCGUCCAAUGUUAAUGUUACAAAAUUGCAGAGGGAACUGCCACAAGAGAAGCAAAUUUGCCACCGAAAUUUUACAGCAUUGGAGGAACAAAGAUUGGAAGCACUCCCGAAUUGUUUGAACCUUCAAAAACAUAGAAGCGAGUGCUUUUGGGAUCACAAUACCAAACUAGGCCUUAGUAAGCCGAGUAGGGUUGUAGAUAUCUCAUAAUCUUUGACAACCUAAACAAGCUUGAUUUUACCCCAAUCCUCACAUUCAUGAUUUCGAUUUUCCAGAAUAAAUGCAUCCCACCUAUAAGGUAGAUAAAAAAGAAGAAGACUUGAAAGUCCACAUAAACAAUGUGGUUAUAGACAUCUUUUGGUGCUAAUCAACCAAUUACCACAUGUGGCCUUUCACUAAAGCAUUUUUAAAUUUAUAAUCAUGCAUACAAACAGAUCAGUAUGAAGGACAACAUCAAACACUACAGAAGAAAGCGUACUCUGAUGUCCUCAACGAGAGCGAGAUGAAACCGAUCGUGACCGAGACCUAAACAAUCAAGAAAACUGAUGAAUGAUUCAGUGUUAAUGAACAAGAAGAACUGCUUGGUAUGGACCAAACCUUUCACUCCUUUCACUCCUGCUCCUGCUUCUGCUGUAACCGCUACUGUAGCUAGGGCUCCUACUUCUCGAGUAAGAAGGGCUAGGGCUAGGGCUCCUAGAUGGGCUUCGUCGGUAUUCCCUAACCUGCAUUAGCGGAUGAAAAUUAGUGUUCAGCGAUGCAACCACAAGAAAAAGGCGCCGCUACGUUAUGUUACCAAGAGCGAGUUUAUAUAAC
rnacentral:lncRNA from 1 species